rnacentral:lncRNA from 1 species
UACUAUCUAAGUAAUGACUCUUUUAGCAAAUGGUUCCAUAAGUGAGAUUAAUUAAUGAAAGUGUAGGUACUACGACUGUAGUACGUUCUUUCAAGAAGCGGAGCAACUUUAUUCUUUAUGAUCUCAUUUCGAUCCGCUUAAUGAUAACAUUUGCUACCAUAAUGGGGCAUUGCUUCUUAUAUAAAAUCUAGAUGAUUGGAUUUGCACCAAUGGAAACCAUAAAUUCCAUAUACAAUAUGGGUAUACCUUUAACUAGGUCUAAACCCUAAACACUAAACCUAGUUUAAACUAGGUUUAAGGGUUUAGGGUUUAGUUUAAACUAGUAUAAACUAGGUUUAAGGGUUUAGGGUUUAGUUUAAACUUGUUUAAACUAGUUUAAACUAGGUUUGGGGUUACUUUAAACUAGGUUUAGGGUUUAAGGUUUAGGGUUUAGUUUACACUAGUUUAAACUAGGUUUAGGGUUUAGUUUAAACUAGUUUAAACUAGGUUUAGGGUUUAGGGUUUAUACUAGUUAAACUAGUUUAGGGAGUUUAGGGUUUAGGGUUUAUACUAGUUAAACUAGUUUAGGGUUUAGGGUUUAUACUAGCUAAACUAGUUUAGGGAUUUUAGAGUUUAGGAUUUAUACUAGUUAAACUAGUUUAAACUAGGUUUAAACCUAGAAACUUGCUAAGAUAGAAUAUUACUUGCAAUGUGGGUUGCUGUGGCACGGGGGAAGGCUCGGUGGGUCGACAGUGACCGGCGGCGGCGACGUCGGCUAGGGCGGCGGCGACUGGCGGCGGCGAUGACGGGGUGCGACUAUUGGUUGGAGCGGGAUGGGCAGAGAGGGAGAGAGAGACAGAGAGAUAAGAGAGAAAGAGAGCGAAGAGUGAGGGAGAGGUGUUGGGGCUUCGGGUGUACCUAGGUAAGACGGUGAAUUGUUCACCGUCUUCAUAAAAAACAGUGGAGACGGUGAACGAUUCACCGUCUUACCUUGGCCCACCUCCUGGGGGUUACCAAUAAAGACGGUGAAUAGUUCACCGUCUUUACUGCAGCACAAAUAAGACGAUGNUGAACGAUUCACCGUCUUACCUUGGCCCACCUCCUGGGGGUUACCAAUAAAGACGGUGAAUAGUUCACCGUCUUUACUGCAGCACAAAUAAGACGAUGAACUAUUCACCGUCUUAUCUGUGUUUUAUGUCUCCAGGACUUGGCCAAAGUUGGGGGGUGUGGGGGGAUAAUGUACCGUCUUAGGUAAGACGGUGAACUGUUUACCGUCUUAUUGAAGGGGGGGUGAAUUCGCUCUAAAGACGGUGAAUAGUUCACCAUCUCAUGAAGGCGGUGAACCAUCCACCGUCUUCGUGAGAAAUGCGCAUAGACGGUGAACGAUUCACCGUCUUUACGAGAAAAAUCCGAGCUGGCGCCGACGUGGCGAAAGGAGGGUUAGUUUUACAAAUAAAAUUUUCAGAGGGUUAUUUGGCCAAAUAUAAAAUUCUAUAGGGUCAGUUUCAAAAAAAGUCCAUAUAUAUGUAUAUACAUGUAUAUAUAUAUGUAUAUAUAUAUAUAUAUAUAUGUAUAUAUAUAUAUAUAUAUAUAUACAUAUGUAUACAUAUAUAUACAUAUGUAUACAUAUGUAUACAUAUAUAUACAUAUAUAUAUGUAUACAUAUUAUCAAUAUAUAUACAGUGUAUAUAUAUUUGGCCAAAUAUACAAAUUCUAUAGGUCAGUUUCAAAAAAAAGUCCAUAUAUAUACAUUGUAUAUAUAUGUAUCAUAUGUAUAGCAUAUAAUUGUAUUACAUAUAUCCUCAUGCUACUAUAUAUUAUAUGUAUAUAUAUGUAUAUAUGACAUUCACAUGUAAUAUAUAUUGUAUACAAUGAUACUAUAUACAUAUACUAUGUAUAAUUACCUUAUAACACAUGUAUAUAUACAAUAAUCCAUGUAUAUGUAUACUAUAGUAUAGUUAUAUAUAUAUAUAUAUAUAUAUAUACACUUUUAUAAGUACAAUCACCUUCUUACUCAUAUGUCGUUUUCAAUGAUGGGGCUUUCAAAUCGACAAUCUAUAUAAUUAAAUAUGAUUUCAAGCAUUUAAAAUUUUUAGAAACCAAAUUUUAAAGAUUUUCGAUAUCAUUUAUCUUAUAAUCAAAAGAUAUCAGAAUUGACAGCUUGUAAUAUCCGAUAUUGAAUAUUUACUAGUUUAAUAGUGUAAAAAAAAAAAAAAAAUCGAUUGAAUUUUUUAUACAACAUUCUAUUUACUGUCUUGAUUAAGAUCGAUAAUUCAGAUCUUAAAUAAAAAAGAAAAAAUUGAUCCUUUAUUUUUUAGAGGCCCUCCAAUUUUAACCACUCAUUCUAUGCCUGCUUAAUGGACUUUACUAUACUUUCGAAAAAAUACAGAAUUUAUUUUUCUAAAAAUUUAAAAUACUCUUCAUAUUUAACGAUGUGGAUCGUCGAUUCAAAAUUUCUAUCAUCGAAAACAACUUAUAAAUACCAAAAAUUCUAUACUCAUAAGAAUAUAGGAGCACUACUUUACUCUAUAUUAUAUAUCGAGUCUUUUAGCGUUCCUAAGACACACAAAGACGUCCACCAAGUGACUAAAGCUUCCAUUUCAAAUUGAACACUAAACUCUAUGGGACCCAUUUAUUAAGGAAAAUAAUUAAUUAGCUGAUGAAUUAAAUAAUGCAAAUCUUUGGACGGUUUAGAACAUGAUAUGUGCAGUCCAUAGCCGACAUGGGAGCCUACGGCCAGGGCAACAAUUUCUCUUAUUAAGCUUGAUAGUCCAGGAAACAAUUUCCCCAAGCUCCCUUUAUACUGCAGAAGCUUCGAAACUUUACAGCAAAUUUAUUCCCCAUGUUUAAGGAAACAUUUCAGACACCAGGCUCGCAAGAAGCACUACGUUCGCAUAAGAUUCAAUCCUAUAGUUUGACCAUCUUAAAUACUAGAUAUUUAUAGUAGUAGAUAGAAGUAUUUACAACCGGGAGAAUAAUAAUAAUAAUAAUAAAGAAAUAAAUAAAAUAAAAUAAGAAGAAAAAGGUGGAUCCAAACAUUGUUAUAAAAUAAACUCGGAAGAAUGAACAUAAUGAUAAUAUAUGAACAGCACUAUUCUUAGAAACAAAAAUUAGGAUUUGAUCAAACCGGAAUCUGAUCUCAGAGUGUCAAAAUCUAAGAAGAUUACAGAAGUAUUAUCCUUCGUCCGCAACAUUCUGGCCUCUUCUAGUAUGCAGUUGGCUAUUUUCUCAGCGUAAUCAUUGUCGUGAAUGUCAAACCUCUCCCUGUUCUGCAAAGAAUAAUUCAGAACACAAGUUACAUCUUGUAAGAGUUGGGGAUUAGGAAAAUUUGGUAGGGUGCAAAAUAACUCUGGAGAUAUGUAGACCUGAAGGAAUAGCUGCACUGCUUUCUUAAUGCUAAUAACAUCCCACAGUCCGUCACUGCAGUUUUUCAGUAGAAACAAUUAUAUCAUCAUCAAUAGAGGAAGCUCACUAAUUGCCCCAUCCAAACAUACACAUGAAAUUUUAGGGACAAGGUAAUCCACCUAGCAAUUAGGGCAAAUGCGGUGCAUGCUUUUGUUAUGUGGACAACUUGACUUAUAUAUGGCUCUGAACUGAAGCGUGAGUCUUGCUCUUUGAGAAACUUAUCUCCUAGCAUCCUGCUGAUAUUUAGUCCUGAAGCAAUAGGGGGAAAAGUGAAAAAGAAAAGAAAGAUGAUGGUCUACGAGAUUUUGCAUAAAUUGUAUUAGUAAGGUGAGAAGACUAUCAUUGCCAUAAUGAAAAUACCCGAGAGGCGUGCUUCACCAUCUUUUAGCGGUCUUCCUAGUUUUGCUAAGCGAGCCCGCUCAGGCAUGCUUGUUACUCUGUGAUCCUCUGUCAUCAUGAUCUGCUGCCCAUUAACACUGCCACAAGAGCACAUUGAUACUUGAUGAUAAAAGUAGAGUUCAACCAAUUCAUGCUAUCAGACAGAAUUGAUAUUCAAAAAGUUCAGGCACGAAAUCAAGCAGAAACAGUCUACUUGCAUAAUUUAGAAACUCCUUUUGCUUUCGAUGUCUAAAUAUGAUCACAGCCAAUAAUUGCAAUAAUCCAAGAUGCCAACGAGACGAAAUUUGCGCAAAACAACAGACAUUAAUAGGCAAAAAACAAUUUUAAUUGUUCCUCAGCCAUCAGCACCACCAUCAUCAACUACGAAGUGCCAGGUCUCAAUUGGAAUAUCACUUCUCAAUUCAAGUUUACCAAAAGUACUCAUUCUACUAAGGGAACACCAAAGAAUAUCAAUGGUAACUUUUCAAACCAAGGAUUUAAGUACGCACGGAGUCAUUCCGGAUACUUGCUCACACAAUCUUUAAUCUGUCACGCCUCGGGGUCCCUUUUUGGAUUUAAAAGUCAAUGCGGGAGUGCCCAAAAAAAAAAAAAAAUUUGAAAACCUUGACUCCAGAGUAUGACAGAUCCGUCACAAACAUAGGAAAUCCACUAUUCAUACGGACAGAGUCUUCCCUGUAUUUGCACGGCAUGGCACAGGUACAAAAUACAACCACAACAGUAUGACAUUCACAUACAUUCACCAAUCACAUUCACCAUUCAUUUCAUCACAGAUAUUCAUAAAUUCACAUCUAUUAGAGAUGAAAAUGAUUUUCUACCCUUCGUGGUAGCAUGUUUUAAAAGAAAUGGUUUCCGUGUGGAAAACAGUUUUAAAAAGAUUUACGUGUUAUGCCAAGCACACAGUGCAAUGUCAUGCCGAUGUGUGUAGUUGACAAAUAUAACUUUCCGCCCACAAACUUUGGCAUGAAAUAUUUACUUUUUAGGGUUAAUUUCAUACAGAUCCCUGCAAACAUAGUAAAUGGCAAAUAUAUCCCUAUAAAGUUCAACUUUCAUAUAUUCUUGCUGCAAAAGUUCUAAUAUUUUCAAUUAUGUCCCUCUAGUUUGUUCCUAGCUAAAAAUAAUUUGCCUAAAAUCUAAAUUUAAAUAUUUUAAUUAAAAUUUAAAUCUAGAAUUAAAAUUAUUUAAAUUUAUAUAUAAAUUCAGAAAUUUGAAUUUAAAAAAAUUGUAUUGGAUUUGAAUUUGCAAGUCAAAUUCAGAAUGUGAAAUUAAAUUCAUGUUUUCAAUUCAAAUUUUAAGUUGAAAUUCGACUUGAAAAAUAAAUUCAAAGAUUAAAGUUAAAACAAAACAUAAACUUUUAGAUAAGCUUUCCACUUUCGAUGACUUCGCAAUUUUUUAAGCCAAAUUAAAAAAAGUAAAAUUUCGUUAUAACUCAUUUUAUCCACCCACUUUUAUAAAGUAAUUUUCAUAUUCACUUCCACAAACCAAAACUUCUGCAAACCAAACAACCGAUAAUACGUCACUUCUAAAAGUGCUAGUUUCGGUGCUUCACUCUCCCCCAACCAAACAUGCCCCUUAAAGAAAGUCUGCAAAUUGCAAGAACAAAGCAUUCUUUCACUAAAAACAAAAAUUCUACAGAUUAAAUAUAUUGUCACCAGCAUGCUAAGCUAGAAAUCAGUCUGCUACUAGCAGUGUACUCUAUCCCUCUUUUUAAUGUCAGAGCUCAGAAUACAAUAAUUGAUUUCCAACAAGAAAAAGAAAUAAAGAAAUAUUCUAGUACAUAUAGCGCAUUGAAGGGUAAACUAAAAUGCCAUCAAGCAUAAGUUAUAUUAAUUGAAAAUUGUAGCAACAAAUUCAUCGAGUGGCGAAGAUUAUUAAGGCUAGCGAAACGCAAAGCAUGCUAUAGACAUGCCCUGAAUCUCAUUGAUUCAAACUAAUGAAAAUUCAUCUUCAAUAUAAUGAUUGUCUCGUAUAAUGAAUAUUAUGGCAUUACUGCAAAUAAAAUGCAUCAACAACAUAUGUUUGAAGUAAAUGAAAUUAGUCGGUAGGCUCCAUAUAUUUAUCAAGCCAUUAGGAUAUUACAGUUUAUACCCAGUGCAUUUUCAAACUUCCAAAAAAAUUACGAUAUUGUAGUUUGAUUACCUUGCCGUUACACAUAUGCAUAUAAAGCAGGAAUAAAUAAUGAAGGAAACUUCAGAGCACACUCUUGCCUGCUAACUUCCUUAGGCCAAGUUUGGUUAGGGGAUAUCCCAAGGAUAAGGAAGAUAUCCCCUCAUUCGCUCCCAAAACAAGAAAACAUUUGUGAACCAAGUUAUCCUAUUCAAACUGGUUUUCAGGAAUAACCCAGUAACACUUGUUUUCUCUCCCUUUAGAGCACUUUGUUUGUUCUCAUAUUUAUCUGUCAAUUUGUCUUGAGGCCAAUUAUGGAAAAGUGAUAUUAUUUAGACCGAUGCUCAAUCAUGACUCAUAUUAUUAUAUAUUACUUAUUUUCUGAAUAAAUAUUACAUUAUUCUGUAUCAUGUAAUAUAAAAGUGUAAUAAUAUAUAAUAAUAUCAUAAAUAGCAGUAACUACAUAUUACUAUUUUUAUAUUAUAGAUGUAAUGUACUAUGCAAUAUAAAUUGUAUUACAUAUCACAUCAAGGAUUGCAUGCUGCUGGCACUGCUGGCAUGGCAAGGCACAUUGGCACAAGGGUGCCAAUGUCAACACGCCUCCCCGUGCUAAGGCGCACCAUUAGCACACUAGAAUGAGUUUUCUUACAAAAUGCUCAUGAAAAUUAGAAUGUUUUAAUCUCUAGCAAACUAUAAAAUUGAUUCAAGAGCUAUUAAAUUGAUUCCAGAGCUAUAUCUCACACAAGUAAGACUAGAACCUAAAAGAACUAAGUAACUGAGAAAAUUCAUUUUAUAUAUAUUAUGAAAGUAUAUGCAUGAAAACAAAACUAAGUCAUAAUUGGUUAAGAACUUAUAAGGGGAAAAAAAACAAUAUCAUGUGUAAAUUCGCUAGAUCUAAUUGAUAAAAAAAAAGGGCUUUUUUUGCAAAUGGCCCCCUGAAAAAAUUUUAUUUUAAAACUAGCCCCAAUAAAUUUAUAAUUACAAAAAUGGCCCUACUCGGCUACUCCUGCCACGCAAGCGCCACGCAAGCGCCCCGUGGGCGGGCUGGGAUCCUGGUUGGCAAGUUAAACACGGUGAAUCAUUAACCGUGUUCAAACAUGGUGAAUGAUUCACCGUGUUUCAUAUUUAUAUUCCUUUUCUUCUCUUUUAGGGAUGUCAACAGGUCAGGUUUGAAUCGGAUUUUCAAAAACCCAAAUCCGAAUCCGAAAAUCAAAUUAAAACCCGAACCCGAAUCCGAACCCAGCGGGUUUUAAAAAUCCAUACCCAUAUCCAUAUAUUAAAGUUAUAUGGGUAUGGAUUUUUAAAACCCGCCGGGUUCUUCAACUUGCCAACCAGCCUCCCAGCCCGCCCACGUGGUGCUUGCGUGGCGCCUGCAUGGCAGGAGUAGGGACAUUUUUGCAAUUAUAAAUUUGUUGGGGCUAGUUUUAAAAUAAAAUUUUUUCAGGGGGCCAUUUGCAUAAAAAGCCCUAAAAAAAAAGGAGGGAAUCUUCUUAUUGUAAUUUUUUUGGUAAAAACAUACAAAACUUACCUAAGUUAUAGACCAUUUUCAGUUGGCUAUUUGUAACGAGCCAACCCGUUAGCAAUAGUAACUUGUUGAGUCCAAAACACCGGACCAAAAUGCUUUAACCCAGCUAUUGUGUCUAGCCUAUUCAAACCACCGUUUGAAAAAGGGCGCCUAAGGCCCGCGCCUAGGCGCGGCGCCUCAGCGCCUCAGCAAUAGCGAGGCACAGCGCAAUUGCUGAGACGCGCGCCUUGGCUCUGAGGUGCGUGCCUCAGGCGAGGUGCGAGGCGCGCGCCUCAAGCACGCCUCGCAAUAUUUAAGUUUAGAAGGAUUUGGGGUUUAAGUUUUCGAGCUGGCAGGUUCUAAAUUUGAUUCUUAUACUUAAACUCGUUAAGAUACUGAAAGAAAUCCUAAAAUAACCCAAAAAAACCAUAAAGAAACCAAUUGGACUAAGUUAGAAGGAUUUUGGGUUUAAGUUUUCGGUUUGUCAGGUUCUAAAUUUGAUUCUUAUACUUUAAACCCGUUAAGAUACUUAAAGAAAUCCUAGAAUAACCAAACAAAACCCUAAAAAAAAAAACAGCUGCUCACCGCUUCCUCUCCCUCUCAUGUUCUCCACAUCUUGUCUUUGUCACACCAUGGACCAACAGCAGCGGAAGCAGCAGGAAGCAAUGGGAGCAAGCAGCAGAGGCCAGCAGCAGCAAUAGCAAGCGGGAAGCAGCAACGGCAGCAAGAAAACAAGCAGCAGCAGCGAUGCAAGUGAUGAGGACGAGGAUGAGCAUGAGGAUAAUGCUUGAAGAACGAACAAAUGAGAGCACUGGCACCACAAUCACUUUUAAGUUUUAAGUUGAAAGUUGAAAACUUGAAAUAUACAUAUAUUUUUAAAUUUGAGAACCUAUAUGUAUGUGUUUCUUUACCUUCUGAUGGUUUUUUUUUUUUGUAUAGUUAUUUUGAAUUUUUUUUUAUGUAGAACAUCAAAUUAAACUACAUUUAGUAAAUGUGCUCCUCGCCUUCUUGAGAAGCGCACCUCGCAGUGCGCCUUGCGCCUACGCUUCAGAAAAGCCUUGCGUCUCUUUGUGCCUCGCACCUUUUCAAACACUGAUUCAAACUUAUAAACACCCACAAUUAGCCACAACUAUCAAAUGUGAGACUAUUCUCAAGCCUUGGGAUGUCACACUACUCGACCUUUCAAAAUUUUGAUUUUACUACCCAACUGUUCAAUUUGUUUGAAUUCAUUCAGUCAACGGCAUUUUGGCUUCAAAAUUUGAAUGUGUCGUUUAUAUUUACAUGUUUAAUUGGUAUACGUCAUGCAAUUCUCGCAACUAUAAAUUCCUUAAAGUAGUUAGCUUAAAUUUUGAAGUCAAAGUACGAUUGACCGACUUAAAUCAAACAAAUUAUAAGUUCAGAUAGUAAAAUCAAAAUUUCGAAAAAUUGGAUAACCAAUUCAAAAUGGUCCAUAGUUCAAGUUUUGUAAGUUUUUACCUAACUUUUUAAACUAAAAGUUAGCCUCAUUAAAGAUGCAACCCAGUAACUACAAAUGUUAGUAGAUUUACAAGAUCUACAUACUCAGGUAUUAUCACCUCAAAAAGACUCAAAAAAGAUCCCAAAAUACUCAAAAAUAAGAGACAAUUUUCUCAAUAUGGUCGGCACGACUCCAUGCCGUGCAUCGGCAUAGCCUCAACAGAGUACGACACGAUAGACAUGGGACAACAGUUGCAAUCCUUGCAUAACAUAUAAUUGAUAUUCUAAGAGUAAAUUAUAUAGUAAUGUUAUAUCACAUUAUUAUAUGAUAAUAAUGUGAUAUAAUGUUACAUUAUGAUAUUAUUCUAUUCUUGUUAUAUUCUUGUGAGUUGUGACAAUGUAAAGCUAAUGAAUAUAUUAUAAUAUAAUGCUAUUAGAACUAAUAUCACUUUAUUACUUAUUGUACUGUAGUUGAACCGGAGCUUAUAAUUUACCAAACUUUCGAUAAAUUGACAAAGUGAGAAUUGAGUCAUGAUAGACAUGAUUAAAGUGGGUUUAGAGAAGCCUAGAUUGAGUGUCAAAUUGAAAUCAAUUCGAAUCGAAACGAGCUUGCGAAAGAGAAGAAAACUGAGUUCCAGACCUUUCGGACGCUCGAAUUAGGGAUUUGGGCACUUGAAAUGGUUUCAGAUGGCCGAAUGCAGUGCUCGGAUCAACCGAAUGCUCUUCCAUAGAGCAAUGUUGGUGAGAAACCCACUUUCGAGCGCCCAAAUUGUCCUAUGGGCGUCGGAAUCAUUUCGAAUGUCACUCAAGGGCACCCGAAACCCCUCUAAACUCCCAACUUGAGAGCUGGAUCACACUUGACGAAGCAUUCGGGCAUCCGAAAUACCCUGCAAGCGCUCGGAACAUCAUUUGGGCGGUCCUUCAUGGGCAUCUGAACGUCUUUCAAACGCUGAACCCAGGAGCACAAAUCGUACGAGAAAUUAAAGAAUCAAACACCCAAUCUACCUUUCGAGUGCCUAAUUCGUGAACCAGGUAGACUGAGCAGGUAUCAAGAUCUUGGACCAAGUGCAGCUAUGUGCAAUUCGGGUGCCCGAAACCUGACGUACAGAUAGUGGUUUUAGUUCUUUGUAAAUAGAAAAUGUUGGGUAGUUUAUGUGCUAUUGUAGCACUUCUAUAAAAAGAGAAUUUCAAAGCCAAACCCUAACCUCUUCCUCCUUUUUCACUCUCUUUCUCUUAUUCCUCUUUCCCUCGAGCAACAGUGCCCUAAUUUCCCAUUGUUGGAUCUUGGAGAUCUACUUGGUUGGAGACUUGGAGAAGCUCAAGGGCUUAAAGAGGAAACACUAGGAAGGAGAAGAAGUCCACUUCACCCAUAUUCCCUUGCUAGGAAGAGAAGAGGUGAGAUGGUGUUUUUAGGGUUUCUUUUGGAGUUUUCUCAAAUAUGAGAUUUGAGAGUUCUAACUUUUGUUAGAACUCCUUUUUAGUGUUUUCUUGAGAUUCUAAGGAGAUCAAGGAUCAUCCCUUAGAAGAGAACUAGAAGAAGGUGGGGAUUAGGGAAUAUCACCAAAAUGGAUUUGACCUCCCUUUUGUCUAAAGCAUUAUUUGAUUGCAUGUAUAUAUUAUGAGUAAUAUGUAAGCUAAAGUGGAUUUAGUUACAUGCUAGGAGAUCGAGUCGGUCAAGAUGUCUUAUGAGCAUUUGACCUAGAAAAAAAAUUAGGGUUUUAACCCUUGUAUAUUGAAAGAAAAACAUGUGGCGUGUAUGUAUGGGCAUUCAUGUGAACCUUGUAACAUAGGCUAAAUAUGUGUGCCAUCUAACCUAGAUGGAACCUAGGAUGUGGAAACAAUGGCAUUGACUCUAGGUUGAAACUUGAGGUGUGACCAUAGUGGUAUUGAACUCUAGGCUAAACUUGAGCUAGAGAACAAGAAAAUGGUAAAUAAAUAAUGUGAAUAACCCCAAAAAUUAGGAACUUUGGAUGAAAUGGUAAAAUAUGCGCAACCUUCCGGAAGUGUCCAACUUGGGAGAUGUCAAUCCCCUUCAAGUCCCAAUGUUGUAAAGGGAGAUUCCAAUCCUCUCAACUCUCGACCGUACUUGGUGAUGCCAAUCUCCCUCGAGAUCAUGUCUCUACCGAUUGGAGACAUGUCAAUCUCCCUCGACUCUCGGUGAAGUGUGCGCCUACUGCCUACCGAUUGCAGAAAUGCCUAUCUCCCUCGACUCUCCAUGAGAUGUGUAUCUACCGAUUGGAGAGAAAUCCGAUCCCCCUCAGCUCUCCAUGAGGUGUAAUAUCAAAGGAAACCAAACUAAUAAUUUGGUAAAAGUAAAGAAAUGGAAUGAGAUAAAUGUAUAGGCUAAUGACAUAGCAAACCAUUGUUGCAUACUAUAAAUAUUUUGAGGCACUGCAGUUGUAUUUCGAUUUCCUGCAUUUCUAUUAUAGAAAUAGCUAUUUCAGUUAUUGUCGUUAUCUAUUAAUGCCUCGUUUGGACCAAGUGUGUGUGCAGAGAGCCACUUUCGGCAGUCAUACCCACUAAAAACUUAUUUCAAGUUCUCACCCCUUUAUGGUUGAUGUUUUUCAGGGCUACCCAUCGCCGGUGAGGCGAGUCGCAGCUAGGGCGUUGCAAGUUAGAUAGACAAUGGCUAGUCGCUGUAGAGAGUACCUCGUUAUAUGUGAACAAUAGAUGUAUAACAGGUUGGAUUAAAGUGAUGUAAACCUUAAAGACGUUAAGUUGUAAUAGUUGUAACAUAGAAGUUGAAUUGUAAUAGCUUGUAAAUUUAGAAGCUUUACUUACUCUGAUGCUCUUGCAGCCAUAUCAUGUAUGGUAUUAUACAGAUUGGUGUAUGUUUCUGCUUCAUGCGAGUAGAAAAAACCUUGUCCGUUCGGCGGGUCAGCUGAACGUGCCCGAAUAGGCCCAACUGGUGAGACUCAGGGCGUAAUAGAGCUACUUUGUAAUAUUAUCAAAUAAUAAUACAAAAUAAAUUUUAUCACAUUUUUCUAACAAAAUACUUGGUUUUACAAUAAUCCAUAUACUUGGUCAAAAUUUGGUUAAGUAGAAGGAUGAACUUAUGCUGCAAGAAUAAGUGCUUAUACUUAGCCUAUACACAAUUCUAGGCUAAACACCCAAAUGGUGUUGGGCAUAACCUCCGAGAAUAAGUGCUUAUCAUCCAAAUGCAAAUUUCAACUUAUUCUUCCUUGUUCCACAAUAGCCCUUGUUCCUGGGAAAAGAAAGUUAUACCCAAAAAUUUAGUUCCCGACCCAACUAACCUUAGAGAAAUUGCAAUAGCAGCAACACUAUAUUUCAUACAUUGCAGCUUCGUCCUUCGCAAGGAAAAUGGUUAGUAUGUUUCCUGAUUAAGGUUAGGAAGCAGUUCUGGUUGUUCCCAAUGGUGAAACUUCAAGAGGAUGACUGAUUUACAAGACAAUUCACAGAUCUGGUUGUCAUAAGUAGUUCUUCAAUUAUUCGGUCCCCUCUUAUACAAAGUGUUAAUACAUUAGUUGCUUCACUUCAUGUUUUGUAACAUUUCAGAUAGAGAUUGCACAUGUUCUGAAGAAGCAAGACGAUGAAUAAUAUAUAUAUUUUUUAAUGGUAACUAGUUGGAAUAACCAGAGAUAUUAUUUAACCAUUUCUUCAAGAUAUAAAAGGCUUGAUAAGAGAAUUUUCCAAGUGAUACAAGUAAAUGAAGAUGACAAACAAUAAAAUAAUUUCUUAUAACAUUUAAACAGGACUAACAAAAAGCAAUUGAGUCCAUUUGCUUAUAAACUAGGAUGUAAUCAUACUUCUUCAAGUCGUGUAAGGAAAAAAAAAAUUCUAGUAACUUAUUAAAAAUUAUAAUAAUAAAUAAAUCUUCAAAUGCUUGCCAUUAUCAGUCAGCUGAGAAAAAAAAAACAAAUAGAGAAUAAUAUCAUCAACAUAAAGUAGAGAAAGGUGUUGUGACAUACUUCACAAAACAAGAUGAAUCGCCAACAUUCGCACAUUGCACAAAACAUUCUUUGCUCUGAGCAAACCAAAUCAAAAGAAUUGUUGCGGUACAACCCUGCAAAGGUUAAUUGUUACAAUGAAGCAGAAUUUGCUUGACCAAUCCAAGAGAUUUAAAGGUUAUAGAAGAGUCGGCAAUUCUCCUGGAUAAUAUUCGAAUACAAUACACAGCAAGACACUAUCUAGAAAGUUAGAACUCAACAUGUCAAUUAAGCCACCUACUGUUGUGUAGUCAAUUGUGGUAUAAAACUCAUCCUUACAAGCCAUAAAUUGACUAUCCGUUCAUACAUCUCCAUCCAUUUAUCCUUCAAUUUACAGGAUAGAAAUUACAUUUAACAAAGAGGGCAAUUUGAAAAUAAAGAGAAAUGCCUAAAAUUAGUUUGGGAAGGUGACUACUUGCUGAAGGAAAUGCCAUCCUGGAUUCACACAUUACACAUGACAGAUAUAGGCCAAGGGAAAAAAGGAAAAAGAUUAUGACCAACAAAUUAUUUUACACAUUAGACUAGAUACUGCAACACAUUGAAGCUUAUCUCUCUUUGAACAAUACUCUAAAAUGCAAUGAUUCUUGCCAUGUGCGCCGGUAAAUACCUAUUCUUCUUCAUGAUUCCUUCUCUAUUCUUCCUCAUCUUUCCUUCUGAUUCUUCUUCUAAAUUCCUUCAUAUAAUUUUCUAAAAAUUUCUACAAUUCAAUUAAAUAUAGCUUUUGGGCUCAUCACUAGCAAGAUAGAUUAGAAUUUUUCUAAUUUGUCCUGCAUCAGUUUUGAUCUCAGAGGAUAUCUGAUUCUUGUUUUUUCUUUAUCCUACAGCAUGCUUGUUAACAAUGAACUUUUAAGUAGAAUUUAGUACGUAUCUAGCUUCCACCAACGCUUGACUGGAUAAUCUAUAGUCUACCAUAAACAACCAAGAGCCGUCUUGUUCGGAAUUCCCUAAUGUAAUACCCCAAAUUUUUUUUAUUAUUUUGUUUUUGCUUUAAAUUUUUUUUAUUUAUUUGAUAGAAGACUAUUUUGCUUGACCUAAAAAGUUUAGCAACUUAUGUGCAAUUAUGCCAUGCAAAUUAAUUAAAUGGCUCCCAAUCUCUCUCUCUCUCUCGUCUGAUCACCCAACCAGCCGCUCUUUCUCUCGCGCGACCGCUAUACUAGCACGCUCGGCUCUCCUUUCCGCGUGCGAUAUCUCUCUCUCUCUCUCUUUCUCGCACGACCUUUGACCCUCGUUUUUCGACGUUGUCGCUGCCGCACUCCUUGAUCUUUGUUGGUGUCGUUUCGUUUGUGGCUGAUGUCAUUUGGAUCAUCAAAAGAACUUUGUUCAUCAGCGUUUUCUUCAUCGUCAUCAAAAAGGUUUCCUAUUUCGUUCAUCCCUGUCUGCAUAUUGUUGAAAGUAUUCUUCUCUUGAUGGGUUUUAAAUCGAGAACUAUUUUUAGACAUAAAAUGUGUGUUAAAUAUUGAUCUUGAACCAAUGAACAUUUUAAAAUUGUUUGAAUCUUUGUACAUCCAUUAGAUUCCAAUGUAUAGACUUCUUGUGUUCUAUAUGUAAUUCCUAGGAGAAAAUAGAUAUAAAUUUUGCUUCCAAAUUUGGCCUAAUCAGAUUACAAUUAAUAAACGUGUUCCCAUCUAAAAAUUAUCAUUUCGAGUAUUUAAGCCUUCGUUUUAAUUUUUUGAAUCCUAUUCAUAUUGCACUACCUUUCUUAAUAAUAUAGUCCAUAGAAUUCUUCCGUUUGACUGAUGGUCGAGAUUCCUCAGCUUAUUAUGUUCAUUGUCUUUUUCUCACAUGAGAUUGGCCUUUUAGCAACUACUUUAGACUUGUACUAAUAUUCUACUUGAGCCUAUCCAAAUUAUAUUGUUGGGAGUUACUUGUUAAACGUCAUGUUUCGUAUAAAGUAAUUAGUCCUAUGUCAGAGGAUUGGACAUCUUUUUAGAAACUUAAUACGAACCUAAUAAGCAUUGAUUAUUUUUGCGUCUUGUGCUUGCAAUGGUAUUUUGUUUCGUACAUUAGUUUCCAUUGAUUAAUUUGAUACCCAACAUUUGACCGAACGAUACUCGAAUUAAUUGGAGGUAAAUGACUUAACAUCCGUUAGUUUAUUUUUGGUAAAAUUAUAGAAAUAUGUUAUGGUAACAAAAAUUCCUUUUGUAUAGUUUUUUAAAAUAAAGGUUAGACAUGUUUAUAUAAAUCACCAACCGUUGAAAAAAAUUGAUUUCCAACACGUUUUGCUCUGAUUGCUGUGCAACUUCGAAAAAUGUGAACUUAAAAUGUGAUGUCUCCUGAUAUUUUGUUUAAAUUAUGUUGGCCAUGUCAACAUGAAUUUUGUGAUAGAAACCAACUUCGAUUUUGUGAUGCACCACCUAUUGCAAUUUCGUAACGCGCCUUCGGGUCCAAUUUUGUAACAUGCCUUUGAGUGCAAUUUCGUGAUGUGCCUUCAGGUUCUAUUUAAAUACACAUUGCUUUGCGAUCGCGCCUUCAAGUGCCUGUGAUGUAUGUUUAAGGCCUUUGCAAACAAGUCGCUAGUUACCAGAGACUUUUGUUUCAAAUUCUAAUUUUAGAAUAAGAAUGCUUUUGUUUAAAUUUCAUUCCUCUUUGUUCUUUGUGAAAUAUACAUGUUAUAAGACUCAAAAUUCUAAAAUGAGAUUUCUAAAUUUUACUAAACUUAGUCAUUGUUUUUUUGUAAAAAAAUUAUAUCUAAAUAUUUUGUUCGCAUGUUUAAUACUACUAAUGUGGUGUAUGGUUGCUUACCUAAGUAUGGAGUCUGAUGAGCUUGUGGGGAAUGGGACCAAGUGAUAGUUAGACUGUAAGGAAGUGAAUUUUCGAAACUCGAGGAUUAGAUUUCGACCAGAAUUGACUAGUUGUCGAGUGCAUAGGCUUCGGAAAGUCCGAAGGCGAUUAUAAUGCAUAAAGUGCAUUAAAGAAGGGUCCGCGGGAGCACCAGUGCAAAAUCUGCACUGGAGCAGAAAUGCUCUCGGGGACCGGUCUCCGGUAGGGAGGGACCGGUUCCAUCAGGCUGGGUUGCGGAGGUCUCUGAUGAGACCGGUCCCUGCAGGAACAGGCUCUCUGGCCAAGGGCUCUCGACGUGAGAGCCCUGAAUCGGUUUAAACCGAUUCAGAGCGAUCCGGUUGCAAGCCCUUGGCCAGGGACGGGUANGCUCUCGGGAACCGGUCUCUCGGACAAGGACCGGUCUCCCGGGGACCGGUCUCUCAGGCAAGGACCGGUUCCCGAACGCGAAAAUCCCUCUGCUCGAAAUGGCAGCCUACGGGGACCGGUCUUCCCGAGCUGGGACCGGUCCCUCACUGCGAAAAUGCCCAGAGAGGGCUAGUUCAGAUUAUGAAAAAUUGAGGGGGCUAGCUGCAAAAUGGCCUUUAUUAGAGGUGGGGGACCCCUCUCUCUCCCUCUCAGCUGCUUUCUCUCUCUCUCUUACCCCUUUUCUCUCUCUCUCUAGGAAAGAAAAGAAAAGAAAGUGAAGAAGGAGAAGAAGAAGAGGAAGGAGAAGAAGAAGAGAAAGAAGGAGAAAGAGAAAGAGAAGGCUAAGAAGAAGAAGAAGAAGAUAUCUUCUUCUCUCCCUCUCCCUCAAGCUUGAGGAAACCUUGUGUAGGGGUAAGCUCUAAACUCCUUUAAUGGUGUUUUUAGGGUUUUGGAGUUUUAUUGCUUAGAAUUGGUUCAAAUGGAACCUAUUAGGGAUAAAUAGAAGGUCCGAGCUCGAAAUCGAAGCUCGCACCGCGGAUUUCUCCGUUGUUGAGACCUAGGGCUUAGAAUUGGGAUUUUGGCAAAUCGAGGGUUUUGAUCUAAUUAGUUGGGUCGCUAACCUAAUUGCUAGGUCCCGGAACGCGUCGACGAAGUCGGUUUCUCGAUCCGACGAGCGGGUGCGGAGAGAUCGCCGAAUCGGGUACUCGAGGGCUCGCUUCGCCCCGAGGAGUUGAAGCGGCGUACAAGAACCCCAACGUCGAGUUUUCUACCAUCGCAGCAUCGCCAAGAGGUGGGUGGUGUCCAUCCCGAAGCAAUCGGGCUCCCUCCUAUGUCUUAGUAUAUUUCGACCCUGCAUCUUGUAUUAUUGCAUUAUAGGAUUAUUAUGUAUUGCCUUUCCUUAUGCCUUUCUUGAUGAUAUCGUAGCGUGCAUUGGAUAUUUGAUAUAUUGGAUUGAUAAGGAUUGGGUCGAGAUUGUGAAUCCUAUAAUGUAGAGAAAAUGAUGAACUAUGAACGAGUGGCAUCUAGUCGAUAGUAAACAAAUAAACGAGUGGCAUUUGGUUGAUAAUAAGCAAAAGAACAAUGAUAUCUGUGAGUCGUGGUGUAUCGUAGUGUAUAUGAAACCUAUGGACUAUAUGAUGAUUGUGACCCUAGAGGACAGGGUAUCCUCAAGCUUAGAGGAUUGGAUCAUGCUCACGGUCUGUUUAAAUCUUGUGAUGGAAGCCCCACACAAGUAGUGCGCUCCGGAUGUUGGUCACGCCAGGGAUUGCCUAUAUGGCCCCGCCAGACGGUCUCGGGUCCGUAGUGUGAGUUGAUUCUCCCUACGUGUCGAGAUGGCUAGUGAGCUGUAGGCGAGCCUUCGGGUAAGCCAUGAGAUUAAUGGACAAGUAAAUGAGGUUAAUGAACGAGUGAAUAGCUUCACCUUUGGACAUGAUAAUGGGUUAGUUGUUUAUCCAUUUCCUUGUACAUGCAUUCAUAUAUUAUGAUUGGGCAUAGUAGCGUAGCUUCAUUUCCGUCAUUUACAGCUUUCCCUAUCUAUCUAUCCAUCUAUUGGUAUAUCUACUCGUGCCCGCUUGGACCUAGUGGGGAGAUCGGCGGAGUCGGCGGCCGAACCCACUGGGAACUAAGGAAGUUAGUUCUCACCCCCAUUUUAUCACAGGUUCCAGUUCGGGUGUCCCCGGUGAGCGUGAGGACCGCGGUAAGGGCCCGGCGUUUUAGUGGCAUUAGCUACCUCCCUUUUUGCACUAGCCGUCACCCUUUUAUAUUUGAGAGUAGAUGAUGUAUAGGGUGAGGUUCGAGUGAUUGUAUGUAUAUUUUGGAAGAAUGUAAAAGAUGUAAUUGAAUGUAUUGAGCCAAAUGGAUGUAAUAGAUAGCUCUUCUCUCUUUAUGUACUUGUAUAUGUUCUAUACUUGUAUCUUGCUCUUGUUUGUCGCACUGGUGGUGCUUCUUGAUCGUGUAUUUAUGAAUUGAAUUCCUGGGUAAAUUCUUAUACAUGAUCUGUUGGUUGCCUUGGGCGGACAGGGGAGGUCCUGUCCGUUCGGCGUCUGUUCGACGCGCCCGGGGCCAGACCAAAUUGGUAGCGGACUCGGGGCGUGACAUAGACGAUAAGAUUUUUUUGUUUUUGAAUUAUUAUUAAUAAAAUUACAUAGUAUAGUUAGUUUAAAAUUUAAUUUUGCUUGGUUAGAGCUGUUGCGAAAUUUUGUGAACCUAGUUGAGUAUUUGUCACGCCCCGGCACCACCACUUUGGUCGGGUCGGGCACGUACACAGGCUGCCGAACGAAUAGAAUUUUUCCUAUCCGCCGAAGGCGUAAACAAAACAAGUACAUUGAAUUUCACACAGAAAAAACAACGUAAUACAGUUCUGCACAAGGGCGUAUCUAUAGUGUACUGAAUUCCAGUAUACUUCCCCGAACUUUAGCUAAACUCGGCAUAGUAUGGAGAAAAUGGUGUGUGAGACUAUUGGAGGAAGUUUAGAAUCAAAAGUUGUGAGUUGAGUGAAAAUUUCAUUGAAUAAGAAGGGUUAAGUUGCAAUUGUAUUGGGGCUUAAGGAUAAGACCUAUCUCACCUACUCUCUCUUUUGUCAUCUACCCAUACAAGAGAAAAAAAAAAGAACCCAUCUUUCUCUCUAAACCCUUUUCCCUUACUCUCUAACACCUCUCACUUGGUGGUGAAGAAAGCUCUCGAAUGGUGGAUCAAGCUUGGAGAGCAAGGUGGCCAAGGUGAGAUUUCAUGAUUUGAGUUAGGGUUUGAAUUAAAUCCUUUAUAUUUGAUGUAUUGUUGAUCCCUAGAUGAUUCUAAACUAGUUUAAUUGAAAAAACGAUUCACUAUGCUUUUUGGAUGUUCUUGAGGUUCAUGAAACCUAGGGGUUGGAUUUGGGGCUUUUGUUCCUAAGAGAUUUGGAACUAAAUUGAUCUCAUAAAUCUCUUAUUGAAGGGUAGUUCAGGACAACUUUGAUUUGGAUUAUGACGAAGUUACGACGUUCAAUUGGGAGAUUUUGCCAAAUUUCAUUCGAUAGGCUUGGAUCGAGCCGAAUUGGCGUUGGAAAUCAAAUUGCUUGAAAAUCCUAACAAUUGGCAAUUAACCGAGGUGGGUGGUGCUCUCCGAAAUAGUUGGAUUUCUUCCUAUAUCUAUGUUGCCAUUUUGGUAAUAUGUAUAUAUAUAUAUAUAUAUAUAUAUAUAUAUAUAUAUAUAUAUAUAUAUAUGAAAAUUCUAUGCAUAUAGGGCUAUUAGCCUAUUAUUGUGUUUGAGCUUUCAAUUUUCCUUGCAUGCUUCCUAAAAUAGGGUUGGACAAAUUGGAUUGAGAACUCGAUACUUGGACGCAUGAGGAUUGGGUUGUUGGACAUUGGAAACCUUAUAAAUGCAAUGAACUAGAAUGUGAACUUAGACAAUAUUGUGGAACAUUAGUGACAUGAACUUGGUGGCAUCUUGACUAGUUGUUUGGACAUAGGAAACAAAGUAAAAUAUUAGAUGUCAUUGCGAGUCUAAACAUGAACCUAGUGAUGGAAAUAUGGAUUGGGUAUCCUAUUGUGCAAGCAGAUAACAUGAACAUUGUGUGUCAUGAUUGUACAAGUUAGUUGUUGCCAUAGUUGCAUAGGAUUUGAGAUAAGCAUGCGAAGGAUUAAAAUAGAUCCUCUGGACCAUGCUAAGGAUUGGUAGAUUCCCGUAUGUUGUUACCCUGGUUAAUAGGGUGUCCUCGAGAUGAGAGGACUGGAUCAUACUCACAUUGUCUGUUUGGCUUGUUGGUGGUCGCGACAUUACAAGCAGUGAGCUCCAGAGUUGUCACACAUGGGUCGAGCGGUUAUCUCCCCUACAGACGGCCCUAAAUUGGUUGAGCGGCUAUCUCCCCAUGGGCCCUAGUAUUGUCAGUGGGCUCGACCUUCAGGUAAGCCAGUAUGAUUGGGUCAUGAGGUAAAAAAAAAAGUAAGCUGAGUAUAAUAGAUCAUGUCUUUGGUUACUCUGUGAAGUCUUGUGGUAGCAUCAUAUGACAGGUGACGAGUCGAUUAUGCCUCCUCUGUAAACAGUCUACGUUGGAUUGAGCAAUCAUCUCCCUAAUAGACGAUCUAGAGGAGGGAGUUGGGCUUGACUUCGCAUGAGCCGAUAUGAUUGGGUUAAAAGGUAAAAAUGGUAAGCAUCUUGAGCAUGAUAGCAUUUAUUGUUUACCUAGCUUCCUUUUGCAAAGACAUAGUAGUGUUUAUUCCAGUUUUUGCAUAAUGCAAUUGUUGUACUACUUUCUUGUUCGUUUAUCUACUUAUGCCUUGAUAGAUCUAGUGGAAAAAUAUGCGAGGUCGGCAGUCAAACCCACUGGAAAUUUCUUUUAGUUCUCACCCUUGUUUUUGCAGAGCCAACCAUUAAUGAAGCAGCACCAGACCGAGACGUUGGCGUUGCGCCCUAGAUAGUUGGGUCACCAAGUGUAGGUCGCCCUACGUACAAUUAAAAGAAUGCAAAUAUAUUUUGGAAAUGAAAAUGUAAUUGAAAGCGCAGUUGUAUUUCGAGAAAUUCAUGUAAUGUAUAAAUUGGAGAAAUUAUGCAAAAUGUGAAUAUUCCAAGUGUUGUAAUAGCUAGGUUUAAAUUCUCGCUCUUGUGAUAUUGUGACGCCCCAACUUCCCAGGGGGUCACCCUGUCCUAGGUCUACUCUCGUCCUAACACGCUUAACUCUCUUAACCUCUUGGGUCUAGCCACCACCCAAAAUACUUAAGCCGGGUUAAGAGUUUAUCCCUAUUAUAUCUUAUAUAUAGAACUACUUGGGGUCUCACAUUCUCAUCCCCCUUAAGCCCUGACGUCCUCGUCAGGCUCAGACUCACAAGUACCGGGCAACGUGAGACUCGUUUCGCUAGCCUAAGCCGACCUUGUGGUGAGUUGCGUUCCACCCACAACGGUCAACAAUAUGAGAGCCUCACUCUCCCCACUAUAUAAUCCUGGCUCAGCCGAGACUCAUCUCACACUUCAGACUGGUAAUUAGCUCUGAUACUAACUGUGACGCCCCCACUUUCCAGGGAGUCACCCAUCCUAGGACUACUCUCGUCUUAACAUGCUUAACUCUCUUAACCUCUUGGGCCUAGACACCGCCCAAAAUGCUAAGCUGGGUUAAGAGUUUAGCCCUAUUAUAUCUUAUAUAUAAGACUACUUGGGAUCUCACAGUAUAAGUGAAACUUUUAGCCAUAUAUUUAGUUGUGGAUUCAAAUUUGAUUAGUAUUUAAUUUGAUUUUGUGAUUGACUAUUUUGCUUGAUAUCUACAUAUUUUGUUGCCUUGCUUGUUUGUGAUUCAAUAAUUAUAGAUAUACGGCGUCUGUAGCAUCUUGGGAUUGGAGUGUGACAGAAAUUUUGGUAUCAAAGCCCUAGGCUUAAGGUUUUAGGGUAAUAAGUUAUAGAAUUGAGGGAUUAACCUUAAAACGUAUGAGAUGGGCAAAAGUAGGAUAUGUCUGCGCUUAUUUCUUUAUGAUACUUUGUAUAUUUACACUUGUUUUCAUAGUUCUUUUAUUUUGUUAGAUGACUCGCCAAUAUCGUCGUAUGCGCUUAAACAACAAAAAAUCCGAGGACCAACCUAUGGAUAGGUCUGAAAACGCAAAUCAAAAUCCACCAAUCGCUUUUCAAUCUACAGAUUUACCUCCGCCGACAAAUCCAUCCCAACAUAUAGCGGCAUCUUCGGCCCCACCUCCACCUGCAUAUUCAUCUCAACCUGCAGCACCAGUUCCCCAAAUGCAACAAGCUAGUGUUGUGAAACCCACUGUCGCAUAAUAUUACAAGCUGUGAUGGAGCUUGUGCAAAUACAACAACUUCAACAGCGGCCACCUCCAACUUCUUUCGAAGCUGGUCCUCAUGCUCGUGAGAGGAGCAUAAAUGAGUUUAAGAAAGCAGCCUCCUCUUGAAAGCUGCACCCUUACCUUUUUCGGGCACCGCCAAUCUAGCUGAGGCGGAACUCUGGGUUGAAGAGAUGGAGAAAGCUUUCAGGAAUUAGACUAACGAAGAGAAGGUUUGGAAUCUACAUGCUUCAGGGCAGUGCCAAUAAUUGGUAGAAGAGUAAACUACACACCCAUGGAGGCAACCCUGCUGCAUUUAUUUGGGAGAUAUUCAGCAUGGCCUUCUUAAAAAGCAAAUUACGACAACUUGAGAGAAUUUCUCGAUCUAAAGAAAGGCUCAAUGUCAGUGGAGGAGUACGAGGCGGAGUUUGAUCGGUUGUCUUGCUUUGCUCCUAAAUAAGGAUGAUGAAUCUAGGGCCAAAAGGUUUGAAAGCCUUAUCGCACGUAUUUGCACCAAAUUAGCGACACUACACUUGGACAGCUACCAAGGAUUUAAGUGCCAGCCGUGCCGCACUGCGUACCGUGCCACCAAGAAAGGGGCACGGUACAGGGGGGUUCCGAGACCCCCCCUCCGUGCCGCGGCACGCCGAGCCGUGCCGCACAAGACAGAGCGACACGGUGAUGCGUGCCUUGUGCAAAAAAAAAUUUUUGCUUUUUUCUUUUUCUUUUUGUUUUUUCUCUUUUUGUUUUAUUUUUUGGGAUAUCCGAAGAAUUCUGGAUACCCUACAACUAUAGCACACUGAACUUUAGCAAAUUGCAAGGUUCCAGUGUUGGAUUAGUAUUUUGAGAUACCCUAGUAUUCUUGAGGGUCGUUGAAGGCGUUCUGACCUAUUACUCGCGUCUUGAGGAGCGAGGGUGAGUACUUAGCACCAAAACCUUCAAACUGCAGGUUUUGGGGUGCUGGGUACCGGUACCAAAGAGGGGUACCGGAACCUCGUCACUUAACCGAGAGGGGUGCUCUCGGGUUUGAGCUCUGCGACGCAUAGUACCGGUACUCAUUGCUCGAGUACCGAUACUGGGGCCUGGUACCGGUACUGCAUCGCGCGGGUACCGGUACACUGCAAUCUGUCCGCUUGACAGAGGCUCGGGUUUGCGCGUUCGGUCGCGGGGUACCGGUACUCCAGCCCACGUACCGGUACGCAGUGCAGAUGCAGACUGCAUGUUUUUUAGGGUUCUUUUUGGGAUUGUUACAUCUCUCAAAUAACCCCUCACCCUUUUGGGGGGCUUUUGUGCUGGAACCAGAGAGGAGGAGGUGGUAAGCUUCCUCCUCUUCUUCUCCUUGAUUUUCGCUCUCUUUUGCUUGGGAUUUUGAGGUUUGAUCUCUCCUUUUGCUUCUUUUUGCUUGGUGAUGAUUCUUCCACCUUAGAGAAGCCUUGGAGUUAGUGUUUGGAACUUGUAUGAGGAAAGAUCUUCAACCCUAGCACAUUCCUAACUUGGUUUGGAGCUUGUUGAGAAAUUAGUAGCUUUGAUCUCUCCCUUAGUUUGUGUUAUGGUGGAUUUUUGAGAUGAAAACCUAAUUUUUGGAAAACUAAGGUUUUAUUUGGGGUUUCUUGAUUUGUAGCCUUUGGGGUUAAAUUGAUGAGUGUAGAACUCUCUUUUAGGUUGGAUUUGAAGUAUCCUAUCCUUCAUUUGGAUCUUGGAAGAGUUCUUCACCAUAUAAGGUAAUUUUCUACCUAUUUAUGGGUUGAAUUUUGUAGAGUUUGUGGGGUGUUCGUUCGAAGCUUGUAACCCUCUUAGAAAUUCUUUUAGCGUAUAGAAGCUUGGUGGACAACUUCGUUCGAAGGAACGAAAGGGUUCGAGGAGUAUCCGAUGGGUUUGACUUUACCGAAAUGGGUGAACUUCCUCUAUGUCUUCUCUAUGGUUAUUAGACUUAGAUGGAUGUGUACUCAUGCUCAAUAGGACAUGAUGGAAUUUUAGAGUACAUAAUAUAUAUGUGUUGCAUGUAGAAAUUUAUACUCUAUAUAGUAAAGGUGCAUAAGGUAGGCUUUCAUUCUACAUGUCAUUUGUUGCUUUUCUCAUUAUGCAAUGAUAGAAAGCAUAUUAGAGAUAAACAAAGGAUCAAUCUUGUGAACCCUAUUUGGAUUGUGGAAUCAAUGGGACUUAGCAAUUACUUGCAUGAUAACACUAAACUUGUUGUAGACAAGGUAAAUGUGACAUUGCAACAUAGUGCAUGUUAAGAUCGACAUGAAGCUAAACUUAGUGCAUUAAACCUAGUUGAACAACUAGUAUGUGGCAUCGUGACAUUACAUUCGAUCUAGGGAUCGAUACUGUGUUCCAUGUAUUAGACAUGAGGAGAGAGAUUUUAAUGCCUUGGGCAUAUGAUAGGAGGGACAAAUGCAUAUAACAUUAAUUGAAUGAGGUCAUUUGCAUGAUACUUACUCCAUAUAGUGGAGGCAUCGGUAGAAAACCAUGUGCAUGGCAUAUGAUAUAAAUUGGUAAAUCUCUCGUGACUCUUUCGCAUAUGGCAUUAGAAAAGGACCCUCUAGGCUAGUGGAAAUGGCAUCUUUAUACUAUGUUGGAAAUCAUGUUACAUUUAGUAAAACGACAAGCUUUUACAUGCUUAUGGACUAAUGAUUUAUGCUUGACAUAGUAAACAUGAACGUCAUGUAGUGACACUUGAUUUAGCAAAUGACUAAACCUUGGCAAUGUGAUACUAUAUUGGGCCUUUGGGUCGUUGGUGCUUAUUUCAUGUUUUAGACAUGAUAUUGAUGACCGAGGGUUGGAUACUAUUGAUCAUGCUUGCUUGCCAUUGUGCUCAUUCGCACAUGCUUGUGAGGGUCACUCCCCACAAGGCGGCACUCCGAAGAUAGCCUACGCGACACAAGCUCGUCCGUGCGGGAUUAGGCACCGAAAUGGGAUGUCGUGGGGAAGGCUCAUUCCUAGAGUGGGAAUGUUGACUACUACUGGGCCAUUAGACACAGAGCAAGCCGGACUACACACGUGUAGGUCCAUGACGAGAUUGAACAAUGAUACCUAAAGUAUAAUGUGGAAACUACUACUAGAUAGUGCAUAUUAGUUGGACUUAUGGACAUGCAUGAUAGUGCAUAUUGUUUGGACCUUAUGUUAGUCGUUCAUGGCAUCAACAUUCUAGUGGUAGUAUAUCUACAUCUAUGUUGAUUGGUAUAGAUGCAUGGAAAAAAUAGCAAUGAAAAGCAUACUUACUCUUUGUAGCAUUAUGGAAAUGAUGAACAUGCAUGUAAACCGGCAUUGGCAUAUAGUUGAACAUGUGAGAUUAGAACAUCUCGUAUAUGAUAGUUAAUCUUUGGUAGAGGCAUGACUUGUUAAUUAAAGUGUUUAAAUUACUUGCUUUUCUCUUGUUGCUUACUUAUCACCUUAUAGCAUGCCUCAGUUGACCUAGUGGUGUAUUUCGCCACUCUCGGUGGCUUACCCACUGGGAACUAUUAUUUAAUAGUUCUCACCCCCAUUUAUUGUUGGUUUUUGUUUCAGAGCCUUCCGCGGCGGGAGAGGCUAGGGAUCGUGGCAAGGGGUUAGCGACUAACUAGAGCAAAUUUUUUUUAUAACUAAUCCUAUCGAUUUUUAUAAUUAUAAAAAUAGUUUUCUUAAAAAAAUAAUUAUAAAAAUAGACCUUUAAAUGCGGUGAAUGAUUCACCGCAUUCAUAACUUCUAUUUAGAAGUAGAAAAAUAAUAAAAGCGGUGAACCAUUCACCGCCGCUUUUACUAUCAUAGAAUUAUAAUAAAAAGGAAGAAAAAGAAAGAAAGCGAUGAAUGGUUCACCGCUCUUGAAAGCGGUAAAUAGGGCUGGCAAAUGAGCGAGCCGGCUCACGUUCGACUCGAUAUUUUGCUCGCUCGAGNUGGCCUACAGUUGAGGGGGUCUCCAUACAUUUUCACCCUUCUAAUAUUUAUAUGUUUGGGUGACCUUUUAAAAUACUUAAAAUAAUGAGUGUACAUAAACAAACUGCAAUUUGUAAUUUUCAUAAGGUGCAAUUUGUGAUUUUUAUAAUGAAGUUGCUUUUUAUUACCACACUGCCACAAAAGUGUACCAAAGUGUUAGCCUGUUUUUUAAUUAUGGAGGGUAGAAUGGUAAAUUUACCUUGAUUAACACAACCAUCAUUUCAAUUUGUAAAUAAUGCUUAAUUGCACGUAGCUACCCGAACUUUACAAAUUAGUUUUAUAAAAAAAUACAAAUGAUAAAACUUAAUUUACGAUAUUUUAAUUAGAAAAAUAUUAUUAAGUGAUACAAAUUUAGCGGUGAUGGAUUUGAUUUAUUACUUCUAAUUAUUAUUCAUCAACUCAAACUCAACAAUAGGCUACUUUGAAAUAGGCCCCUCAACUUUGAGUUUUCUGAUUGGGAUCCAAUAAACUUUUAAUAUAAAAUUGUAAAUUUCACCAAAUUUAAUAAUUUUAAUCACUUAUUAACUAAUAAAAGCUAAUGGAUUUCCAACAAAAUAUACUAUAAUUUUUUUUAGGAGGAACUAAACUAACUAUAAUGAUUCAAUUCCAAAAAGCUCGAGGGGCCACUUUUAAACCCUUCUAUAGUCGAGGGGAUCUCAUCCAAUUUGUACCAAUUGUUUGCCCUUUCAAUCGUGGCCCCUUUGUGUACACGUAACCAUGUAUGUAACAUUAACAUUGCUAUUAUUAUUAUUAUUAUUAUUAUUAUUAUUAUGAAAAACCUUUAAACAUCAUCCUAUGAUUUCACACUUUCUAACUUUAGUAUUCUAUAAUUUAAAGUGUAUUAAUUUAGUGUCCUGUAAUUUUAUUUUUAUUUUUUUAUUAUUGGCCACUAAUUUUUUUGUUAAAUCAGUGACAAAGUUAAAACUAGAAGGUAGUAAAGUAAAAUAUUCAAUAAGCCUAGGUAGGGUAUCUAAAGUUUUUUUGUAUAUAAUUUAACGAAAUAUUAACGAAAAAGCUGACGAAAAGAUAAAAAUAAAAUCACAUGACACUAAUUUAAUACACUUUAAAUUAUAAAGUACUAAAAUGAGAAACUGUGAAACUACAGGGGUGGUAUUUGAAGUUUACCCUAUUUAUAUUAUAAGAAUUUUCAGAGGCAGGAAAUGGUCCCUGCAAUUAUUGUGCAUGGUUGAUGGUUGAUGGUACUUGUUGUGUUUUUUUUGCCCAAAUAAAAGCAAAAAAGGAUGUACCAUAGACACUGAUCUCUAUUGGUACUUAGUCUCUUGAACAGUGACAGUGCACUUGUACUAAACUACUAAUAGGUUUGUUAUACUGGAAAUUAGAAAAAAUCAUUUUGUCAUGCACUGCUAAUAAUACAGAUGCAUACAAACAGAAAAAAAAAUCCAACAAUACCAAAAAUAGAAAAAAAAGGGGCCAAUUUGCAUAAAAAAUCCACUAAUUUUGGGUUUUUUAUAAAAGUGGGCCACCUUUUUCGUUUUUGCAGAUUCGGUCUGAUUUUUCAGCAAACUGACCAAAAUGCCCUUGUAUCUUUUUCUCUCUCCUUUUUUUUUUUGUCGUUCUUUUUCCCUUUCUCUUCCCAAAGAGCGGCGAGGUGGAAACGUCACCCCCUCCCCCGGCGACGUCGCCCUCGCCCGCUCCGGCGACGUUGCCGGCAACGAGCCCCUCUCCCCUGCCUCGACCCGAAUCCUCCGACCAAAAAGGGGGUGACGUUUCCGCCUCGCCUCUCUUUGGGAAGAGAAAGGAAAAAAGAACGACAAAAAAAAAGAGGAGAGAGAAAAAGGUACAAGGGCAUUUUGGUCAGUUUGCUGAAAAAUCAGACCGAAUCUGCAAAAAUGAAAAAUGUGGCCCACUUUUGCAAAAACCCAAAAUUAGUGGAUUUUUUAUGCAAUUGUCAGAAAGAAGAGAUCUAUAUUUGCAUGGUUGGACAAUUUCUUAUAGGAAAAACUUCAAAUACCCCUCUUAUGGUUUCACUCUUUUUCACUUUAGUACCAUGUGGUUUAAAGUGUAUCAAAUUAGUACUCUGUGGUUUCGCAUUUUCUCACUUUAGUACCCUGUGGUUUAAAGUGUAUUAAGUUAGUACCCUGUGGUUUCGUACUUUCUCACUUUAGUACACUGUAGUUUAAUAUUUCAUUAAGAAAAAAAUAAAACCACAUAGUAGGGCCGGCAAAUGAGCGAGCCGGCUCGCGUUCGAUUCGAUAUUUGGCUCGCUCGAGCUUGACUCGAAAUUAAAUGAGCCGAGCUUGAACAAAAAAAAAGGCUCGAAAUUUAUUUCAAGCCGAGCUUGAGUAUUACUCGGCUCGUUCGAAUUAGGCUCGAAAAGCUCGAAAAGCUCGAAUAUAUAUAUAGUAGAGCUACUAUGCUAUCGAAAAUAUAGAGGAUAUGGUGCUUUCGAUUUUUUGAUUCUUAGAUCAACCCCUUUAAUCAUUUUUUUGAAUUAAUACUCUUGUAGGGACCACUCAAUCCUAGGGAUAUUAUUUAAUCCUAGCGGGGACCACAAUCAUCCCAACCAUACAAUUCUUAAUCAAAAGGUCAAAAAUUCGAAAACAUCAAAUCCUCUAUAUUUUCGAUAGCAUAGUACUUCUACACUAUAUAUAUAUAUAUUAAAAAAUAUAUAAAUAUAAUAUAUUUUAAUUAUAUAUAGGCUGAGUGAAUAAUCUGAGUUUAGUUAAAAUUGGGCAAAUAUUGUUGGCCCAUAAAAAUAAACCCAAUAGACAAAUAAAAGAGCAAAAUUUUACUAAAUUUAUACAUUUUUCCUUCCUUUCUUUCUUUCACAGAACUCUAAAUUUUCAAUAUAUUUUUCUCUUUCUCUUUUUUGUCUCUCACCCUAAGCGGCCAAGCCGGAAGCUCUCCAAGUUACCAAGUAACAGCAUAUGCCUGCCGUUGCCUAACUUGCUAUUAAUUGUAUGCUUGAGAAAAUAUACAGAAUAUUUUUAAAGUAAAAAAUUAUUAUUCAUAUAAAAUUUUAAUUUUUGUUAUAUAUGAUUGGAUAGUUUAAUCCAAUAUUUAUCUAUAUAAUUUAUUUAUUUUUGACUGCAUAAAUGAAAAUGAAUAAUAUAGAGAUUGAAGACGGAAGAAAAGAUAUGUGAGGCUGAAAAAUUAGAUAUUCAACUCAUAAAUUAUUUUUUUUCAUAUUAUAAUACUAUAUUUCAUAUAAUUAUUUUGUACUUUGAACUAUUAGACAUAUUUUUGUAUCAAAUUAUAGAUAAUGUUCUAUACAAAUUAACGUAUAAUGUUGAGAAUUUCAAGCGGCUCGUUUAGGGCUCGAGCUCGCUAGACUUGAAAUUAGGCUCGUUCGAGCUUGGCUCGAAUUAAUUUCAAUCCAAGCUUGAGCUUAAAUUUAGGCUCGAAAUUAAUUUCAAGCCGAAUUUGAGCCGAGGUAAGCUCGCUCGAGCUCGGCUCGUUUCCACCCCUAGCGGUAAACCAUUCACCGCUUUUAUAGGACUAUAUCUACAAAUAAUAUUUUAACAGAUUUAUUUUUAAAAUAUAAUUUUAGAAGAGAACUAUUACACUAAAAGCCCCAACUAGAGCCACUACGGAGUUAUUUUAGAUGGAUCCGAUAUCAUCUUUUUUUUUGUAUUUGUGGAAAGAUGUAUUAUGUAUUUGAUUGAGAGAUAUAUUAGACUUUUGGAUUCAGUUGUAUAUCUUGUGGAUGUCUUUGUAUUAGACUAUUAGUGGUUUUAUGUUACUCGCUCUGAUAGCCUUAUUAGGAUUUUAUUCUUGCCUUGUGUAUGUCGGGAGGUUUGGUAUACACGGCGGGUCUGUGCACGCGUCGGGCGGGCUUCCGCUGCGCCCGGGCGUGACAACAACCCCAAAAAAUAUUGCAAAUCGAAGAUCUAUUUAUUAGGCAAGUCAAAAAAGUUAUAAUUUAUUUUUUUUUGUUUAUCAAUAUAGAGCAAAUUUUUAAUUUACAUAUCCAAUCCCUCCGCUUUCACCACAGACAUUCAUUUUUUCUUCACAAAUUAUUUUAUCAAAAUUUGUAGUACCGCGAAACUUUUGCCAAAUUAGGGAAACAAAAUCGAACUCAAUAAAUAAAUUUUAAGACACAUCAAACAUAAAAUUUUAUUUUUGCGUUAGAAGAUUGAAAAUACUGAUAAAAUUAAAAGUUAAAUUAAAUUAAUUGAUACUUAAAUUUAUUUAAUUUAUUUGUCAUAUAAUUUAUCGCUUAAUUUUUUUGAUAGAUCUACUAAUUUUUUGAAAAAAUUAAUUAAAAAAUAAUUUUUUAAAAUAAUUUUAAAAUUAUUUUUUGUAUUUUAUAAAAGAAAGACUGUAAUAUGGUUAAAAGAAAAAAGAAAAAAAAAAGAUGUCUUUGCAUUUUAAAAAUUCUAACCUGUAAAAAUUUCUAUUCUGCAUCAGAUAUAGUUGUACUUUACAUACAAGAAAGCUUAUAUUAGAAUUAUGGUUCUAAUUUUAAUUUCUUUUUAUUUAAGGAAUUAUUAUCAAUUAAUUACUUUGAUUUGUUUUAUAUUAGAAUUCCUAUUCAUACUAGGGUUUCUAAAUACUUAUAAGUUAAAAACAAGUGGCCAAGCCUUCCUUUUGUUUUCAUCAAUUAAUUUUAGUAAGAAAGAAAUAUUAGGGUUUUUACCUCGCUUGUUCUAUUCUCCAAUAAUGAAGAUAUUUCUAUCACAGUUUCAGCAUCCUAAUUCCUAAGAACUAUGAACGAAAGCAGGCCUGCCUGUAGUGAAAUCCGAUAGCACUUAUUUGAUCCACCAUACUUGAUGAUAUGCCUCCUGGAUUAAUGCAUAUAGCUUCAUCAGUAUGAGCUGCCAAGAGAUGGUUUUUGCUAACAUGUAGAUCUGCGUUGACCUAGAGAAACCGCAACAUGAUCGAGCGACUAAAUUUUCCCACCUUUCCAUCUACGAUCUCUUGAGCUGGAUUUUUCAAGCAGAAGCAGUUCUUUAACUACUAAAAUAGAUUAAACUCAUUAAAGGGAAAAGGAAAGCAAGAAAUCUGUUCGCAUUCUUUCAUAUUAAUAAAGAAGCAAUCCAUGGUUCAGUUGAACAAGAACCAAAUUGCCUAACAGUCCUCUAGCUAUACUCACAUGAAUCCUGAAGUUGAGAAUAAUCACAUGAAUCCUAAAGUUCAGAUUUGGUCUAUCCCAAUGUGUUCAUUUGCACACUGCUCUUCAAAAUAUUUUGCAUAUUAGUUUUGCGAAAGAGUAUCAAGUAGAGUUUAAGAGUCAUAGAAACAUAUAAACUGAAUGGUCACGAAAGGCGAUCCACUAGAAUGCAUAAAGAUUAGCUAAUGGCAAAGAGACUAGCCAGAUUGAUCUAGGGUUUGUGCAAGACCAAUGCGUCCAAAGAAAAGUUUCAAAAGCCCUAUAUAUUUUUAUGUAAAGGAAAAAAAUUGCAGCAUAAUCCUCCAAAUACAGAAGUUUAGAAGCUGACUGGUGCCAUGAUAAAGGACAGGUGUAAUUAGGGCCUUUGCUACAAUCGUGAGAAAAAGUAGACCAUCAAUCAAGUAUGAUUCUACGUUAGCGUUCCUAGUGAUGGAAGACCAUCAGAUAAAAUAACACACCUUAGAAAUAGAUUUGCCCUCAGGAGAGGGUGUCUAUUAUUUAUAUGAGCAUGACUAACGUAGGAGCGAGGUUUUAAGUGUCCGUCGGUACGGGCCGUAUCUAUCAUGCCGUACCGUGCCAACAAGAUACCAGCACGAUACAAACCCCAUGCCGAUGGCACAGCUCAAAACCCUCUAUUCUUUAAAUUAGUAAGUAAUUUCCUUAAUAAAGUUCAAAGGAUGUGAUAAAAAGACAUAAUAAAUAGUUAGAAUAUUUUGUUGCUAAAGAAAAUAAAUAUUUCAUGCUAUUAUGUGUCGGCACACAAGAAUUUUUUUAACCGGCACACAUAAGCACGGCUCGGCACGCACCGUGCCGUACCGUGCCGGCAAGUUUCCAGCACGACCACGUGUCACGGCACUUAAAUCCUUGUGGAGUAUUUCAUAUGUAUUGUGGAUUAGGAAGUAAGUAGAUUCCAACAACACAAUUUGAGCAAGGAUGCUCAUAAAUGAAAUACUUAUGAAAUCACAGGUUUCCAACUACUGAAUUUAACAAGUUUUCUUAACAAAAGGACCCUCCUGCUAAAUGAGUAUUUUUCAUAUAUUGGAGUGUUCAUCUAAUAUCAAAAUUACAAUAAUUAUCAAAGUAUCACCUUAACUCUAAGCCCACAUGGACACCUUUACAUAAGAGGGUUGUCCAGGCAGCGGCAAACAUUGAUUAAGAACAUUUGGAUAAUCUAGGUACCAAAAACAAUAGGUAGCCUCCUAAGCACCCCCUACCCCACUUUGAUAGUCGCCUAGGCACUUCUUAGGCAAUUCAUUAAGAUUUUCACAUCAAGUUCAAAUAUUUAUUAAAGUAAACAAUAUACUUAGUUCUACUUUCAGGCCCCGUUUGGAUCGCAGGAUAAGCGGGGAUAACGAAAGUUAUUCCCGCUAUUCCGCCAAACGGGGUGAAAUUUGGCCGGGAUAUUUUAUCCCGGUCAAACCUUGCUAUUCCCGGUUAUCCCGGAAUAGCAAGGGAUUUGCUAUUCCACCAUUUUGGUUUAUAAAUUUAUAUUUAUUAUACAUAAUUAUAUCAUGUUAAUUAUUAAAAUAUUAUUUUUAUUACAUAAUAUUAUAUAUUGUAUAAUAUAAAUAUAUUAAAUCAAAUUAAAUUAAAUAUUAAAAUUAAUUCAAACUUUAAUUCGUAACCUUAUCGUGAUAAGANAUAAUUUAUACUCUCAAAAUUAAAGUUUAAAAUUUAAAUUUAAAAUUUUAUAUUUUAUUUUUUUUAAAUUUAAAUAUGAUCUUAAAUUUAAAGUUUGAAAUUUAAAAUUUAAAAUUUUGAAUUUAAAAUUUGAGAUUUUAAAUUUCAAAGUUAAAAUUUUAAAUUUAGAAAUAUAAAUUUAAAAAUUUAAAAAUUCAAAUUCAAAUAUAAUAAGUGGAUAAUAUCAUUAUUUUUAUUUACAAAACCCAUUAUCUUUCUUAUUCCAUCUUACCUAACCAAACGCAAUUUUUUUAUUCCCAGGAAUAACCCAAUUUUCAUCCAAACGCAAAAUUGAUCUAAUCCCCGCUUAUACCUCAAUUUAUACUUAUCCCUGGAAUAGCCACUUUUUCCUUAUCCCCGAACCAAACGAUACCUCAAAGAACAAAGGUUAUGUGAUAAUAACACAAAAGAAUAUGAUCGAUGACAAUUAAACAAAACAAUGAUGUGAUAUCUCUUUCGAAAAUUUUAUGUGAAACAUGAAAUUGGACCUUCUGUUGUAACAUAGAAUUCACACCUAUCUUAUGUUUUCUCCUCUUUUUUUCACUUUUACUGCUGAUUUCCAAUAUUUUCAUGAAGAAUUAAUGAACAAAUAGUAUAGUAAUAAAAUAUUAAAGGUGGACAGUAAAGUAGUAAUAAUAAUAUUAAAGGUGGACUACAUUAUAUGAAGUUCUUAUAUUGGGCUAUUAAGACAGUUUUCUUUCAAUCAUUUUGCAAAUUAUUUUUCAGAAAAAAAAGGUUGUUUAAAUGACAGCCUAGAUCAUUAAGCAACCCACCUAAAAGUUUGGGUUUGCCUACGUAAUUAGGGGAUCCCUCCAGCUAGGGAUCCCUCACCACUGAGACAACCUUGAUAGAUGUUGAUCCUACAUUAUACCAAAAAAUAGUGAUACUCUUUUAGACAGUGCAAUUAGGUGAAGAGGGAUCGGCAGGUGGUUGUCAAUGUUAUAACAUAUAUGCAUAUUAGAGCAAGUUACCUUUCCUUAAACAUAUAAAUAUAAGAACUCAUUUGGAACGAAAAAAUACACAAUAUUCAGUAAUUUCUUUCAAAAUACCUAGCUCUCUUAUUAAGAAGUAUACUACAAAGGAAAAAAAAAUGAAGAUAACACAAGUACGGAAAAUAUAUAUAUAUGUAGGGCCUUUAUCAUCUAUAAACCUCUUUGCACAUAUUUACAACAUAAAAAUUAAAAAUUCAAAUCUAGGUCUGGUCUUCGAAUUUCUGUAAGAUGAUGUUAGUGUACAAGUAAAUGUUCGUUGAGGCCCCUAAGCAUGAUUGAUAGUGCAACACAUUCUAUAUACUCACAGAGGAAAGUACAGCUAGAGCACCCCUGACCAGAAAGUCUAACACAUAUUAUACAAAAUAAAUCAGCCAGUUUUUAAAACCUAGAAUUGAAUUGUGAUUGUAAUAACAAAUUAUUUAUUAGUUGUAUAAAAGCAUAACAAAACAAAGUUCUGAGGAUCAAGGAAAAUACCUCAUACUGAUGAUUCAUUGUUGCUUCUGUUAAACUAAAAGCAUCUCUAAGCACAUCUGACGCAUCAGAACUCAAAAGAACCCUUUCUUUCCUCUCAGGAUUAGACAAAAUAUUCGCUAUAUUUUCAGGAAGAAUCCUGGCAAUGAAUAUACAAAGAGUGGGGAUCAGCCAAGCAAAAGAAACAAGCUAUGUUGUGUAAAGUGUAAACAUCAUCAAGUAAAACAGAAAUAAGACCAUAUAAAAGAAGUAUAGAAUGAUGCCUUCUGUGACAGGUCCAUAACCAAUAAGCCAUAACAGUACAAUUACAGACAACGAACAAACAACAAACAGCUUAUAUGGGAAUAAAAAAAGAUGUCAUUCUUCCUUUUCUGCACAAACCACACUAAGAUAAUGCUAAAAUGGGAAGAAGCACUUACGUGAGAGAAACAAUUGAUGUAACUCAAUAAAAUAUAAUGAAUUCACUCCAUUAAAUUUUAAAGAUAAAAGAGUCAUAACCUGAAGCUUCCUUAAAAAAUCUAUUACAUAUUAUGAAAGUGUAGUUUGGAAUCAUACGUGGCGGCAUACAUGGCACCACCAUGUUCACAUGGCCAUUUGGGGCACAGGGUGGGGAGUUUGGAAUCAUACGUGGCGCCACCAUGUUCACAUGGCCAUUUGGGGCACGGUGGGGAGGGAGGGUAUGAAGCCCCCUUUUUUCUCUCUCUCUCUCUCUCUCUCUCUCUCUCUCUCUCUCUCGCGCGCGCGCGCGCGCGCACGCUCGAUCUCUUGCUCUCUCACUGUAAGGAAGUGAAUUCUCGAAAUCCGAGAGUUGGACUUCGUUUAGAUUCGACUUGUUGUCGAGUUGGUAAGGUUCAGAAAGUUCGGAUGCUGAGGAAAUGCAAAAAGUGCAUUGGGACAGACCCGCGAGAGCAAUGAAGUGAAUAUGCUCAAGUGCAGAUUUUUGUGCUCUCGGGGACCGGUCCCUUCCCAGAGGGGACCAGUCCCCGUAAGCAUGUUUUCGGGAAGUUGCUCUCGGGGACCGGUCUCUCUGGGAGGGGACCGGUUCCCGUGAGCUUGUGCGCGAGGAUUGCUCUCGGGGACCGGUCCUCCCUUUGAGGGACCAGUCCCCGUAGCCCGACAUGCCCAAGGAUGGCUGCUUCAUGGUUGCAAAGUUGAGGGGUCUUUCAGCAAUUAUAGCAUGAGAUGAGGGGUUAUAUAGUAUUUCCCCUCUCUCUUUUCUCAUUUCCCCUCUCCCACAGUUAUAUUUUCUCUCCCUCUCUCUCUCUAGAAGAAAAGAAGGAGAAGAAGAAGAAGAAGAAGGAGAAGGAGACAUAGAAGAAGAGGGUCAUCUUCUUCAUCUCUUUCUCAAGUGGAGCAAGCUUUUGGAGGUAAGCUCUAAACCCUACAAUGGUGGAUUUCUAGGGUUUAGCUUUUAUACUUUAAAAUCGAUUUUGUUGGAACCUAAUGGUGCUUAAUAGUUGAUCCUAGCAUGGAUCUAGGGUUUUGUUGGUGUAGUUUGCACUAAUUGCAAACCUAGGGCACCAAAAUGGGUAGUUGAGAAAUAAUGGGUUUUGAUCUCAAUUGAUUGGUCGUAAACCUAAUUGCUAGGUAUCUAAACGCGUCGGCGAAGACGGUUCGUCGAUUCGUCGAGUUGGUGAAGAGAUAUUGCCAAGCGAAGAACGUAUUGGCUUCGUUUCUACUAUAGGAGCCGAAGUGGCGUGACGAGUUCCAUUCCUAGAGUUGUAGCAUCGCCUACAAAUGGGUGGUGACCAUCCCGAAGCAGUUAAGCUGCUCCCUAUGUCUGAGUUUAUUAUUGAUCAAGUUUGCAUAUUGAGCAUGAUACAUAUAGGUGCUAGAUGGUUAUUGUUUGUUGCUUACACUUGCAUGCUAGUGGUAAUGUAACUUAGUUGAUUUAGCCUUUGAUCCUAGUAUACAUGAGAACUAUGUGAUAUAGCUUAAAACCCUAUAUGUGAUGCUGUAUGAUGAAUUGGAACCUAGGUAAAUAAUAGCCUAGUGAUAGUGUACAAGCAGUGUAUCAAGGACACUUAAAUUGAUGACGAGUGGCAUCUCGUUAAUGUAAACCUAUGACGGGUGGCAUAUGAGAACCUUAGUGUAGCUGAAACACUAGAUUGAUGAGUAUAGAAACCUAUGGAUUCUAUGUUGAUGAUUCCGUAGUUGGUAGGGUAUUCCCGGUUCACAAAGAUUGGAUCGUGCUCACAUAGCCUGUCUACGCUUGUAGUGGUCGCUCCCUACAGGCUGCGCACUCCGGAGUAUUUGACACUUGAAGGGCAGUCAAUAGAAAUACCUGGACAGUCAGCGAGCUGUCCGCAGGCGGUCUCGGGGGAUCGUUCAGCAAGGCUUCUCCCCUAUGAGACUCAAAAACGUGAGAUUGAGAAUGAGUUUUCGGUUUAGCCGAACGAUUGGGUAAGUUGAUGAAAAACAUUAUUGUUGAACAUAGUAGUAUGGUAGCUGGCCUUACUAUUAGUUACAUGCAUUCAUUAUGUCGGAUUGAGGCAUAGUUAGAUAUUCACAUUCAUACCUGCUUUAUUAUCGUUGAUGCUUUCAAUUACGCAUAUCUAUCUAUCUUUUCCUCUUCCUAUACCUGCUUAGACCUAGUAGGGAGAUCGGCGGAGUCGGCGGCCGAACUCACUGGGAACUAUGAACAAUAGUUCUCACCCCACCUUGUUGCAGGUCUGAGUUCGAGUACUCCAGUUGAGGAUCGUGGUAAGGGAUUAGCGCCCUAGUGCUGGUAGAAGCCUCCUUUUUGCAUUAGACUACCAUAUAUAUAUUCGAGAGUAGAUGAUGUAUAGGUGUGAGGCUAUUUUGGAAAAUGUAAACCUUAUGUUCAUGUUUUGGAAGUUAGGUGUAAUCAAGUUGUAUUAAAAAGGUUGAAUGAAUGUAAUAGCUUAGCAUCUCUCUUUUAUUCACUUGUAUGUAUCUUACUUGUGAUGCUUGCUCUCGAUUGUUUAGCACUUGUUGUGCUCUCGCUAUUGUUAUGUGAUCGUGUAUGUAUCCAAGUGUUUCCUGGGAACUUGUUGUACAUGAUCUCGUCGCUUGAGCCUUGGGCGGACAGGGGAGGUCCUGUCCGUUCGGCGUCUGUUCGACGCGCCCGAACCGAACCAAAUUGGUAACGGGUCUCGGGGCGUGACACUCACAUUUUUCGUCAAUCUCUUUCGCAUCUUUUGUUGUACAACCUACUUUUUAAGUAAUAGAUAUUAUAAAAUAAAAUUUUAAUUCAAUACAUGCAAUCCAAACCAUAUUAAAAAAAAACUAUGUAUAAAAAAUUACAUAAUUUAAAUUUUUAUAAUGAGAUUUUAAAAAUGCAGUGUAUAAAAUUUACUUUUAGGCCCAGUGCACAAAAUAUUUCUCCUCCACCACUCUAUCUUUUAUUUCUCAACUAUAACAAAUUAUUGCUAGCACUCAAUUUAUUUGUGCAUCGUAUGCACUAAACUUAUUUUUUGAAGAUUAAUAUCAUAAAAUUAAAAUAUAAUCAGAUAGAUGCAAUCUACGCUAUAUAAAAAGUCUAUAUGCAAAAAAUUAUAGAGUUUAAAUUUAGGGAUAAUUGCCUAUAUACCCCUCAUACGUUUGAAAAUAUCCGAUUUACCCCUACUUUUUUUUUCUUUCUAAAAUACCCCUCAUAUGUUCCACCGUUAUUGCAAAAUACCCCCGCAGUUAUCUCCUGUUAAGUUAACUUGGGUUACACGUGAGUUAAACAUCUACCACAGUUAAAAAAAAUUAAAAUGCCAAUUUUGCCCUUAACUUAAGGGCAAAUAAGAAAUGUUGGUGACGGUAGAGGGGUAUAUUGGAAAAGACCAAAAGUCAAAAUACUUUUUAUGCCCCUGACUUAAAGGGCAAAUAAGAAAGUCAGUAAUGGUGGAAGGAUAUAUUUGAAAGGGCAAAAUAGUAAUUUUACAGAGUUAACAGAAUUAAUUAAUAGAUUUUAACUCUAGGGGUAUAUUAGAAAUAGAUUGGAACGUAAAGAGGGUAUUUUCAAUAUUAGCCUUAAGAAGGGUAAAUCGGAAAGUCGGAAACUUUUCAGGGGUAUAUAAGCAAUUGCCCCUUAAAUUUAUAUAAUAUGGUUUCGAAAAUUUGCGUAUAGGAUGUAUUUAUGCACAAAACAAUUUCGAACCCGCCGAUUCCAUGGCAUAUUUUGUCACUCUGACCUGCCGCCGUCACAUUCCGUCGCGGGAGCACGGAACCUGCUGAUCGUUGGAUUUGCCCGCUUCUUUUUUCUCUCUUUCUCCCUCUCCCACCAUGCAACGGUUUUUGGAUUUCCUCUCUCUCCUCUCUUACUCUCACAUAUCUAUCAAUCACUAUGUUCAUAAAAACUUCUCCCACUCAGGAGGCUUUCCCCCUUUCUCUCUUUCUACAGUCAUCUGAAAAAUGGCAGUGGCGGAUGGACAUUAAAAUGAGGCAGCAAAUACACCUUUUGCUCUAGUAGUAUACUCAUUUUCUUCUUCUGUCAUUGUUGCUUUUGUUAUGCCAUUUUUCUUCUAAUGACUUUAUUGCUAUUGUUGCUCAUACCAGUUCUUCUUCUUUAGGGCCUGGUUAGUUUGCGUAUCCUGUCAAGAUUACAGGGUAUCCUACAGGAUUUUUUUCAGAUUUCUCUAUUUGGUUCAUUCGGCAAGUAAUACGGUUGCAGUAGUAAUGGCGCAAGAUAACCCCCAAAAUAUUACCAGAGAGGGGGGUGAGUAUCUUAAAUUACCGACUACAAGUUAUGCUGCAACUAAUACAAAAUUAUAAGAUUACCCCUCAGCACACCGAAUUGACAAAACUUAAAUCUAAAAUAAGUUUAAAUUUCUUAUUCUCAUUAUCAAUUAAAAUAUUUAAGUUUGAAUUCAAAUUUUAAAUUUUUUAAUUUGAGUUCAAUUAAUUCAAAUUUAAAUAUAAAUUUGAGCUUCAAAUUUAAGUUUAAAUUUAAAUUUAAUUUGAAAUUUGAAUUAAAAUUUUGACUUUGAAUUGAAUAUUUGAAUUUGAAUUAAAAUUUGAACUAAAAAAUCUAAACUCAAAAUGAAAUAUGAAUUCACAAUUUGAUGUCAAAUUGUGAAUUUGAAUGAAUUUGAAUUUAAAAGUUGAAUUAUGCAAAUAUUAAAUUUGAAUUUAAAAUUUUAAUCCAAAAACUAAAUUUGAAUGAUCCAAAAGUAGAAUUUGGAUGUAAAUUUUGAAUUCACAAUCAAAAUUUGAAUUUGAACCUUGAAUUAAAAAUUGGACUAUAAAUUUUAAAUUUUGAAUUUAAAAUCUAAAUUUAAAUUAAAUAUCUGAAUUUAAAUUUUAAAUUUUGAAUUCAAUUUUUGAAUUGAAAUUUGAAGCUUGAAUUAAAAAUAAAAAUUUGAAAUCAAAGUUUAAACUGAAAACAAGAAUUUGAAUUUAAAAAUUCAAACUUAAAAUUUAAAUUCAAAACAUAAAUUUAAAGUUUAUAUUCAAAUUUUAAAUAAAUGUGUAUAAGCCUAUAAGGUAUUUGUGGAGUAGUAUAAACUUUAUUAUUAUGAUUACCAAAAUAUAUAAGAUGAACCAAACAAAAUAAUCUUACAUACGUAGUAAUCCAACUUUACAUUACUGCACUUAGCCAAAAAGAGUAAUGCAGCAUUAGUAGUAAUCUGAAUCACAUAUGUCAGAUUACUAAUUAUGUUGAGAUAAUAAGCAAUGCUACAUAACAUGAACCAAAUGGACUCUUAGCUUAUUCUUUUAUUCUUCUUAUGUUUUUACCACUACUAUAAAUAUAAUUUAUUAUUCUUAUUAUUUUAUCUUUAUUCUUUUUUUAGUCCUUAUACUUUUAUUCUUAUGCUUUUACUGCGGCAACUACUGCUACUUCUUCAGCUUCUUCUACUUUAAUUUUCUUUUUAUUCUUAAGUUUUUCCUUUUUUGUUUCUUAUUCUUUUACUAUUUAUUCGUUCUUUAGCUUCUUUUAUUUAUUGCUUCUACGAAAUCGGCCCGCCAUAAAGCGCGAGUGCCUUCAAUAAUAUAUAUUAAAAAUGUUGUUUUCAGUUGUAACAUAGAGGUAAUAACAAGAAACGAAUGUCAGAAACAAAUGAAGGGUGCAUCAAAGACCCUUACCUAGGUAGGGCGCAUAUAUUGGAAUAAGGUACUCUGCAUAAAUUAAAAUACUAAUUCUUAUACUUACCCCUAAAUAGGGGGCUAGUAUCAAUUAGAAGAAAAUUUCUUCUCUAUGACUGCUUGACAUGAAGUUUGUAUCCUAUCAAUACCAAUAUGCCAUCUGAGGGUUGCAUACAUCUAAUCAAGGGCAAAAUGUAAACUUUGCCUAUUUAAAUGUAUGAACAUCUUGUUCGGCACAUCCUUUGGACUGCACACAUCUAAUCAUGUAGAAACCGACAAAAUUCAAAAAUUAAUGAAAUUGAUUUUUGAAUUAAGGAAUUUGGAAAUUGCAUACAUCUAAUCAUGUAGAAACGGGCAAAAUUCAAAAAUUAAUGAAAUUGAUUUUUGAAUUAAGGAAUUUGAAAACUGAAUUUUAUUUAAAUUUUGGUGAUUCCGAAGAGAGAAUGGCUAACUUCACGAAACGAAAACGAAAUCCAACAAAACUUCACCACUUGAAAGGUUUGACUGUGCCGGAAGUCGUGAAGUCCAUUUUCGGAUUCGGCGUGGCAACAGCCGAAAAUGGAGUGAAUUUCGAAAAUUCACCAAAAUUGGAAAUUUGAAAAUUUCGCAAAAGUCCCUAUAUUUUAUGUAAAGAUUUCCGCGAUAUCUGGAAAGAAGAGGAUCCUUUGCGAAAUAUACCUCCUAGCAAGGGCUUAGUUUCAAAUUCAAUCAAAAGAGGGACUUAUUAGCAAUUGUAUCCAAACUAUAUAUAUUGUAUUAGGGUUUUCAUCAACCCUAAUUGACUAUAUCGUAACCCUAAGCCCUACAGCCGCACCCUUCCGCUCCACAGCAUCCUGCCGGCGCCCCGAGCCUUUAGCCACCAGCCCCAACCGUCGGAGCACCGACAAAGGCAACACCUUCAUCUCUCCCUCAACUCUAUUCCUCUCUCUCCAGUUCUUGCCCCCGAGGUGUUCUGGAGGGGCCCCACCGUCGGCAGCCGACGCCAACAAGCUUCCUAUAGUCCGGCAAGUCACCCUCGAUGGCCGCCAGCACCACCGUGCUCCUUCUUUCCUCAGCCAGGCUACACCAGGGAUUUCUAGAUCUUGGCCGGCGAUAGCAGGGCUCCCCGUCGCCGCGGCCCACCUCCGACGACCUCCAGAGGUCCUUCCUGUUAGGGGUGUAAUGUAGGCCGUGCUAGGCCGGCACGGCCCACAUUACUCGGGCCGAAACGGGGCCCAGCCAGGAUUCACAUCCGAGUUGUGCCGUGCCGGGCCUGUCACAAUCAACCAUCCGGCCCAGCACGACCCCCAGGCCCGAAAGGUCCCGGCAGUGCCAAGCUUCGUGUCGACCCCUUAAAAUUUUUACUUUUAUUUUUUAAAAAACAUAAAAUUUUAAAUUAUGGUCAAUUAAGUAUUUCUAUUUAAAUCUAUAUUGUGAUUGAAAAUUUUCAAAUUUAUAAAUAUUUUAAUUUUUUAAAAAAAUUAUAAAUUAUUAUUAUUUUUAUUACUUUAAUUUUUUAAAAUAUUAAUUUAGUGGGCUUUCGAUCCAUCGGACCAACUUGUUUGACCCGAUGGACCAAAAACCCCCCUCCAAAGGCCUGCCAAUGCAGACCUUGAGAAGAGGAGCUCCUAGGGAGAAGGGCCAAAACCCCCUCCAAAGGUGUAGCGGUGCAGACCUUAGGAGAAGAGCUCCUGGGGAUAAGGGCUCCCCAGGAGCUUAGACCCCAAGCCCAAGGCAAUUUUGCCUUGGGGCUUGGGGUCUGGGCCGCCCUGGCCCGGUCGGCACGGCCCGCUGCUGUGCGGAGCCGCCGGCCUAUCCUCGACUCGACACGGUCCAGGCCCGUUACGGGCUGGGCCGUGCCGAGCCGCCGGGCCGAAAUAUAUAGGCCCAGCACGACCCAAACUAUCGGGCCAGACCGGCCCCACGGGUGCUACAGUACGCGUGCCGUGCUGCAGCCCGGCCCGAGACCAUGCCGGGUUGGGCGGCCCCGCAGCCGCUCGGCCCGUUUUACAUCCCUACCUUCGGCGCUACCCCGAUUCCCCCGUUCGCCGUCGUUGCCCGAAUUCAAACCGAGCCAAGUUUUGCCCGAGUUGGCCUCGGGCCUCCUAGCCGCGCUGUCGCUGGUGACCACCUCCCUUUUCCCCCUCCAACCGGUCUUGACCUCCCCCUGCUAGAGCUCAACGCUACCAGCCACCGAAACCCAAAGUGAAGAAGUACCGGGCUUAGCUGUUCGGGCUAGGGUCUGGCCUCGGACCUUUACAUCCUACCGUCGUCGGCGCUACCCAUAGACCCACCCGGAUCGCCCGGCUGCCCGAGUCCCGAUUCCCCCGUUGCCGUCGUUGCCCCGAGAUUCAAGCCCGACCAAUUUGCCCGAGUGCCUGGGCCUGCCUAAGCACGCGCGUCCGCUGGUGACCACCUCCCUUUCCCUCUCCAAGCCGGUCCUCUGACCUCCCCUGCUAGAAGCUCAAGCGCGGCACAGCCACCCGGAAACCCAAAUGAAAAGUAUCGGGCUCUAGGCUGUGCGGCUAGGGUUCUUCGGAAUCCUCGACUCCUCUGUUCGGCCAAUCCGUAAGCCCAAGCAAUCCCAAGAAAGGUGAGCACUAAGCUCUUUUUAAGUCUUGUAGGCUAUGGGGCUUCAGACUAUAGUUUCAAUAUCCAUGCCUUCGAAUGUCUAGCUAGGCUUGUUGACCCCCAGGACAUGCUAAACUUCGGGUUACAAGUUGCUGCCGAAAGUAUCCUCAGAGCUCUCAUUUCCGCUCCAUGAUAGCGACCGUUCGUUCCGGUAGCAUUGAUGCCCGUCAAAUAUCUACAACAUUGUUCAAUCCGAACUUGGAAUCGCGGUAGUAAUAAAAGCCGCCAUCUUUGUUGGGCAAUAUAACUGCAAUUAUCUUGUAUGUUUAGGGUCUUCUAUAUAUUGAUUGUUGUGGGGUUUGUUCUCAGUCAAACGCAGAGUGAAAAAUUGUAGGUGACUGCUUCGACUGCAUUGGUCCAAGGUCCAGUGGCCUUUACGAACAUAAAAUGGUGUUUCGGUGCACAGUUUCCGACAAAAAUCACAGCGAUUGCGAAAUCUGUGAUUUCGGUUCGGGAUUCACGUUCCGAGACAUGGAUGUCCAGUCUAUUCCAGGAGCUAUUGCUGUAAAAUUCUGGUCCCAAGUGGUCCCGUUGAUCUGGGUAGAGUUAACACGUGGAUUCCGGGACCAAAAUUGGGAUUCUCGAACGCCGGUAAGGUUUAAUAUAGGUUAUUUCACGCCGUUCUUGCACCAAAUUGCGUGCGGCUGGCCGAUACUCAAAAUGAGUUGUUUUGUGACCAACAAGAAAAGCGGCACGAUGACUUCGGUAGUGCUUUGAAAUCACUGGGGGGCUGAACCUGAACUCUAAAACACAAAAAUCGAGUGAUUUCAAGCGGCAGUUUCUAUGCGCGCAGGUUGCUGCUAUUCGUUGAGUGUAAUUAGCACCAUUAUUGGCUGUCACACAAUUGAGGUUUUUGACACGCUCUGGCUUGCAGCAAAAGGGCCUGUCAAGUGUACGCAGGCCGAAACUACGGCAUCUGCGAAAACCAAAUAUGCUAUUUUCGAGCUCAACUGAUUUUCUUUUGGCCGCAUCUUUUGUGCGCGCUGUCCAACAUCAUAAAUAAGCGUGUCUCAGGACAGCUGGCGGGGAGUAUGGCUAAGAAUUGACUCCAGUUCAUUCGGGACACAUCCCCUCAUAGUUGGCGGCGGUGUUCUGACGAGUCGAUACGACGAUCCGCGCGCGAAGUUUCUUUAUGACCGUUUAAACGGAAUCCAAAAUUAAGAUGCAUCUGCGUUUCAUUUCGCUAAUUGGCAUGAUGAUCAUGGGCUUUUGGUACACAUGUAGCAAAGUUUGGCUUAAUUACCGGUUUGGGUUGGACUUUGCAUAGAUCACCGCAAUCAGCGGGAGGGCACAUCACGUAGGGGUCAGAACGACCAACUGGUCAUAUUCACUGUAAAGUGGGUGCUUCGAGCUGAUAGUUGUGCAGACAAAUAUUCCCAUUUCUUCCUUCACUCACAUACUGCACAUAUCACUUACUCUUACAUGUUGCUUUUCUAUAUCAUUCAAAGCAUUAAUAAGGACAAAAUACAUUAAAAAACCUGUCAACUGCCCGAUUUUUCACUUUCCUCCCGACUUCUAAAAACCUAUAUCUUACCCCUUAAAAAAUAUAAAAUUCAUAGAGGCUUACACGAGUGUUAACAGUGAUGACAAAAUAACCAAAUUUGCCCCUCUCCCUCUUCAUGCUCCCUCCUUAAUCAUCGCUUCAUUCCACAGUCCUCUCCCCUCCGUCCUUCGCACAUCCUCGACCCAGCUCAACCUGCCGCAUUGCUCCCACAAUUUGCUCGCUCUAUUCCUGCACUCCCGUGCCUCUUUCUUCAGCAACGAUGGGUAUCAAGACUCGCGUUGGGGCGGGAACGGAGGGUGUGGCGGACGUAGUGAGGAUGGGUAAGGAGGGCCGAGGCGCGAUGGUGUGGGAGAGGACGGAAGGGAUGGCGAAGCGAGGCCCGUGCGCCACGGCCGAGGACCCUCACCCGCGAGGAAAAGAGCGUCUGCGACUUUUGCGCUGCUGAGAACGGGGAGAUACAAAGGUGAUUCUUUGGAUAAAACUAUACUAAUAAAUAAGUAAAAUAACGACCAAACGCUCCUCAAACUGAAGCAGAGGCUCGGGUCCGAAGUAAACUUUUUUAGUCUUUAGCGGUAAAAUGUAGAUUUUUAAAGCCGGGGAUGGAAAGUGAAAAACAAGCGCUGUAUGACGGGGGGUUUUUUAUAAUUUACCUACCAUAUAUUACUCUGCAUAGUCGGCAGCUACUUCUUGACCUGUUGCUGCACCACACUAAUCCCCAAGUUGACUCACCCAUUCUAGGACGUACUUCUCCCAUCCUAAAGCAUGCUGUAAUCUCGUUACCUUUGGGCCCCUUGCACCCAUCCAAAAUACUUAAGCGCGGGUUAAGACAUUCGAUUUUUAGGCCUAUGUCUCAUCUUAUACUAUACGCAGCUAUCUCUGGCUGGUCUUCACAUUCUCCGCCUUACGUCCUGAAGUCUCCUGUCGGGUCAACUCACCAAAGUACAAGCGAGUGUGAGACUCUCUCGCUAGCCUGAAUCGAUCCUUGUGUGAGCUGCACUCUACCCACAACAGUCAAACCACAUAACAGCCUCCGCUCAUCGCGCCGUUCGUUAAUCCAAGUUCAGGCCGAAACUCAUCUCAACACGUGAUGGUAAUUGACUUUGAACGCAAGCCUAACGCCGCGGCGCCGAGGGCAUUACUAUCCGGGGGUCCCAUCCUACUACUACUAACUGCUCUCUAGCAUCUAAUUCUCUCUAGCUCUUGGCCUUGCCACCUACCCAAAAUUUACAAGCAGGUUAAGAAUUUGUAGCUCUAUUUAUCUUACAUAUAGCACUACCCGCGCGUCUCACACUGUGAGUAGGCUCCUACAUUCUUGACAUUGGGUGAUCGUUUCAGGUCCGCGUGACAGACGUAUACCUAUCAUAAAAAGGACUAAAGUCCCACUUGGGACGGCAGAGCGUCAUAUCCCACCGUAUCGUAUCGUGCCACACAAGAUCAUUGCACAACUAUGAGCCUCCGUACCGAUGGCCAAACCUCAAAACUCUCUAUUCUUGAAAUUAGAGUAAUUUCUCAACAAAUUCAAAAGAUUUGAUUAAAAAUACAUAAUAAAUAAUUGGCAAUCAUUUCUUGCUAAAGAAAAAUAAAUAUUCAUUCCAUAUCGUUUCCGCACAUAUAUAUUAUUUUUCAAGACGCAAUUCGCGGCACAGUCCGGCAUGCACCGGUGCCGGUAUCGUGCGGGGGUAUUCGUUCGGCACGACCCGUCCACGGCACUCUAAUCCAUGAUUAUCCUUAUGACUCGACUUACUUGGCUCUCCGAAUUUUACGCCAUACAGCAUUGAUAUUCAGCAAAUAAUCGCUUUUCAGCAAGUCUACAUAGAAUCAUAACAUAAAAAAAAUCGCACACAUACACAUUAGAGUACUUACACCCUAAAGAGACAUAGCAGGUUAAUGACCACCUGACUAAGUGUACCAAUCAAUAUAUACGGAUAAGAGCCAACCAAGUCGUUCCAUUCGUGACAGUGUGGAUCAGGUUCGGCUGCAUUUAUUGGCACCCCCGCCCCGAAAUUCCACUAAAACAUUUGGCACGGUCGGGCGCACCGAGCGAUCCGCCGAACAGACCACGCACCUCUUCCUGUCCGCCAAGCGGCCAAGCAAGCCAGAUCAUGUACAGAUAAAGCGCCCAGGGAACUGCUUAAAAUAACAUACAAUGAUGAUAACGAUCACACAAUGCACUAUAACUAAGAGCAAGAACAAAGUUGACAUAUACAAGAUAUAACAAAGAGAGAUAGUCUACUAUUACCAACCAUUUCAAUCAUCUUAGCACAUUUGAAUAUAUACAUAUUUCAUUCUUCCAAAUGUGAUACAUGUUUUCCUCAAAAUACAAGUAGCUUCAAACUAACUAAUGCAAACAUCAUCUAGAUACAUCCCGAGGGUACCUCUAAUCAUAAAUGAAAAGCCUACUAACUAGGCUCAACUUCAGGCUCCAAUGCGCCUUUGCCGCGUCCUACGCUCGACUCGCCUCUGUGUGUACCCUGUUAGCCACCCAAACCACAUUGUGAGAACCAUAUAAAUAGCUAGUUCUCCAGUGGGUUUCCGACUCUCCACUGGCGCUGCAACAAGCCGGUCAGUGCCGACCAUCCUGCGCAGGUAACUCCUCGUACUUAGAAUCCGGCUCCUCGAGCGACCUCAGGAGACGGUCGCUGGCGGUACGAACACUACGUACGUAGCAGUCUGGGACAUUAUUCUCCUGUCAACGCAACAACCGGUUAGUCCAUUUCUAACCAUGUAACUCCGUCGGCAUAACUAUAUUACGCGACUCAACCUCCGCCAUACACCGGACGUACACCACUUUGUAUCUAGUCCUAACUCUUAAGCGUCGUGUUGUCGGGCCGCACACACAAACCACAUCGAGCUUGGAACUAACAGCUGCUCGAUCCAUCUCUGCCAACUAGAGAUCUAUACUCGACCGACCUAGAUCGAAUUCUGCUUCAACGAUAUAGUUUUACCGUUUUCUCUCACGUACCUACACAACACUAGGUUCACCGGUCCUAAGUCUCUAGUCACACCUAGACUAACAAACAACCUCUUUACUUCGUUCUUAAAUGCAAUCUGUCAAACCAACACUGGUCACACCUGUGCCAGAAUCACAUACCAAUUUGGCAACGUUCGGGUGCAUCCGGACGGAGCCGCGAACUACAGCCAUUUUGCGCGCGCACUCAACUGUCCGCCAAGGCAAGCAACCAGAUCAUGUACAAUAAGCGCCCAGUGGAUGCUUAAAUCACAUACAUGAUCGAUACGAUGCAACACAAGUGCACUUACAACUAAGAAGCAAGAACCACAAGUAAAUAUACAGUGUAAGCAAAGCGAGACUAGUCUAACUAUUACAAUCGAUUCAACAUUUACAUCAUUGAAAUAUAUUACAUUUCAUCUUCCAAAACGUGAUACAUGUUUUUCUCAUCAAAAUACAAAUAGCUCCUCAAAACUAUCCAAAACAUCAUCUAGUACAACGUGUACUUCUAGAUGCAUAAAAGAAAAUGCACUAACUAGGCCUCACUUAGGCGCUAUGCGCCUUGCCGGCGGUUUCCUCGCUCGACUGCCUAUCCGUGUGUACCUGUAACCCCAAAACCACAUGGGAUUAGAACAUAUAAAUAUACGUUUCCAGUGGGUUCGAGCCGCCGACGCCCGCCGGUUUUCCACUAGGUCUAAAGCUGGCCACCGAUAGAGAGAUAGAAUAAAUAUACAAAAAUGAACUGCACUACUCUAUCAUGGCCAUCAAUGAUAAUAAUGCAUGUCAACCAUACUAACCUAUCAUGCUAGUAUCCAUGUCAUCGAGUAUAUAAAGGUCAUAGUACUUGGUAACUACAACAUAGCACAUAUUUCUACUCAAGUAAUAAUGCAAGCCUACUAUUAUCAUUUCAUGUUUAUUACCCCAAACUCUACUUGGUUACCCGAAGGUUCAUCCUCGACUUCAGCAUCUCAUCUCAUAGGUAGGAAAGCUGCACUCGCACGUACCGAACCCGUCUGCGGGACAACUCCGUCUGCCCCUAGUGAAGUAACUAUCCCCGAACUCGUGGCCUCGUGGAGCGACCACCGAACAAGCAAAACAGACUAGUGAGUUAAUCCCAUCCUCACCAAGGAGAUCCGCAUCUACAAGGUCAAUUGCCUCUGCUGCACAAAUACAAUGCAUCUAAUCUCGGAUCUUCUCUGUCGCCUAAACCAUGUCCAUGUUUACAUACACUAGAACUCGAUGCCAACUCGUGUCGAAUUCUUGUAGUAAGCUUUCUAGCUAGUUGACACAUGCCACUUCGUUCAUGUUAGUGUUUCUAAAUUAUCAUCUAUUCCAUGCCACCUCUCCUAGCUACAUAUGUCUAAGUUCGACUCUUUAUGCCAUUAUAGGAUUCCCAUGUCACAAGACCCAAUCCUCAUGCUACCCUAGUCUAUGUGUCCAACCCAUAGUUACACUACUAAGAAGCAUGCAAGGAAUUAGAAUUUGCAACUAUCUACUAAUCCUAUAAUGCAAUAUGAUCAAGCAGAUAUAUAACUUAGACAUAAAAAGAAAUCCGGAUGCUUCGGGAUGACACCCCCCACCUUUUGUGUAUACGGAGGCUCUAGAAAUGCGCUUCGGCGUUCUUUACGACGAAGCCUCGGUCUCCUUGGUCCAAAUGAUGCUCAAUCGGCCUUAUUUUUCCGAUAGCUCUUGACCCGCUCGACGAAUCGAAAUUCCGACUUCGCCCCCGCGUUUCGUUACCUAGCAAUUAGGUUUACAAGGCCUCAAAUGAGAUCAAUCUCAUACUUUUCUAAAAACCCCAUUUUGGUGCCCUAGGGUUAGCAUCAAGCUAAACCCAUCUCAAAACCCUAGAUUAUAGCUCCAAUCCUACCAUUCAUGGUGCUAGGGAUCCAUUUGAUCCCAUCCAAAGAGCUAAAACCCAAAAACCCUAAAUUUCACAAGCUAGGUUUGGAUAGCUUACCUCUUAGCUACACCAAGUAGAAGAGGAGAGGGAGAGGAAGAUGUCGAAGGUCUUCCUCUUGAUCUCCUUCUUCUUCUCCUUCCUUUCCUUCUCUUCCUUUCCUUCUUCUCCUUCUUGUUCUUCUCUUUUCCUUCUAGAGAGAGAGAGAAAGCAAGAGUGUGAGGGAGGGAGUGAAAUGAGAGAUGAGAGGGGGAAGAGGGCAUAUGCCCCUCUAUUGUAACAAUAUCCAUCCAAGCCUCUCCACUUUUUACUCUGUGCACUGCCCCUCACUUGGCAUUCUGCGCCCAGAGGGACCGGUCUCCCCGACUUGGGACCGGUCCCCGAGAGCUUCAGCUCGGGUCACGCAUUCGGGUACCGGUCUCUCUCCGAGAGACCGAUCUUCGGGAGACCGGUCCUUGCCUGUGAGACCGGUCCCUGAGAGCAAUAUUUUCAGGACUUAGCCAAAUUUCUGGCUUUCUCGCUGGGUUCCCGUUCGGGGACCGGUCCCUCACCGCCAGGGACCGAUUGCCUCAAGCAACCCCGCAACACCAGCCGAUAGGACCGGUCCCUUCCUGCCAGGGACCGGUCCCCGAGAGCAAUUUUGCUCCAGUGCAGAUUUUGCACUCUUUGCUCUCGUGGACUCAUUUCCAAUGCACUUUUGGUGAUUUUAAUAUCUUUGGCUUUUCCAAAGCACACCAAUACGACCCUUGGUCGAUUCUGGAUGAAGUCUAACUCUCGUAUUUCGAGAAUUCACUUCCUUACAUCCUCCCCUUCUAAAAAAGAGUUUCGUUCUCGAAACGAAUUCAAUAACUCAUACCUCAUUGCAUUUCCGUGAAAAGAUGAGGAUAAUGCACUUUCAUCGAUUCCUCGAGUUCCCACGUAGCCUCACGAUCGCUGUGAUUGGUCCAACGAAUCUUCACAUAGGGAAUCUCACGGUUUCUCAAUUUCCGCACUUCUCGAGCAAUGAUCAUCGCCGGAAACUCUUCAUAACUUAGAUCUUCUUGUAGAUCCGGCGGUUCAUAAUACAUCACGUGCUCAGGGUCGUGGAUAUACUUGCGAAGGUUAGAAACGUGGAAUACAUCAUGCACCCCCGCGAGCUUCGGCGGUAAUGCAAGUCGGUACGCUACCGCUCCAACACGUUCCAACACUUCGAAUGGCCCGAUAUAUCGAGGACUAGCUUUCUCCGCACUCCGAAGCGUUUCACACCUCUCAUAGGUGAAACCUUCAAGAAAACGCGGUCACCCACUGCGAAUUCCAAGUCUCUACAGCGUUUGUCAGAAUAGCUCUUUUGCCUCGACUGUGCCGUAAGUAGCCUCUCGCGAGCGAGACAGACCUUCUCUUCCACCUCCCGCAAUAUGUCUGGGCCCAAUACCGCAUGCUCACCUACAUCGCUCCAACAUAUAGGGGAUCGGCACUUCCGUCCAUAUAGGACCUCAAACGGUGCCAUCCCAAUGCUAGCUUGGUAACUGUUAUUGUAGGCGAACUCGGCCAUCCUCAAAUGGUUUGCCCAACGACCCUUAUAGUCAAUGACACACGCUCGCAACAUAUCCUCCAGAAUAUAGUCCUCUCUGACUGUCCAUCUGUCUAAGGAUGAAACGCGGUGCUGAAAUUGAGCCGUGUGCCAAGUGCUUCCUGCAGGUUUUUCCAAAAUUGCGUAGUAAAACGGGGGUCUCGAUCUGACACGAUCGACUUCGGAACCCCGUGCAACCUCACAACUUCAUCUAAGUACACCUGCGCCAAUUUGUCACCCGACCAGGUGGUGUGAAUCGGUAGAAAGUGUGCCUACUUGGUCAUACGAUCCACAAUCACCCAGAUCGCGUCGUGGCCACCCGUCGAACGGGGCAAUCCGACCACGAAGUCCAUAGCAAUAUUCUCCCAUUUCCAAACGGGGAUAGGUAGACUUUGGAGCUUUCCCGCUGGAAAUCGGCGUUCAGCCUUCACUUGCUGGCAUACCAAGCACUGCGCCACAUAGCGCCCAAUGUCAGCUUUCAUGCCCGGCCACCAGUACUGCAUUUUUAGAUCACGGUACAUCUUGGUGCCGCCCGGGUGAAUACUAUAAGGAGUCCGAUGCGCUUCUUGUAAAAUUAAUUUCCGGACCUCCUCGUUUUCCGGUACGCACCAUCGGUUUCGAAACCGAAGCGCACCCUCGGCGUCUACACUGAAAUCACCGCCGCGUCCACUCUCGAUGUCCCGCCGCACCUUUUGGAGAUUGGGGUCUGCAGAUUGCAAACUCUUAAUCUGCUCCAACAAGGUCGGUUGGACAACGAGAGCCAUAAGCAUAGGCGGGGUUUCCGGAGCUACUACUUCGAGAUCCAUACGUUCCAUCUCUCUCCACAGUGGCUCUUGACGUGUGACCAACAUAGCCAGAUUCUCCACUGACUUCCUGCUAAGCGCGUCGGCCACCACGUUUGCUUUUCCGGGGUGGUAUAGGAUUGUAACAUCGAAAUCCUUUAGCAACUCUAACCACCGCCGUUGCCGCAUGUUGAGCUCCUUCUGCGUGAAAAGGUACUUCAGGCUUUUGUGGUCCGUAUAUAUUUCGCAUCGCGCGCCAUACAAGUAGUGCCUCCAUAACUUGAGAGCAAACACUACCGCGGCUAACUCUAGGUCGUGGACAGGGUAAUUCUUCUCAUAGCUUUUUAGCUGACGGGACGCAUAAGCGAUCACCUUCCCGCCCUGCAUCAGAACACACCCUAAGCCCGAUUGUGACGCGUCGCUAUACACCACGAAGUCUUCAUCUUGCACCGGUAAGGCGAGCACCGGAGUCGAAGUUAAUCUAUCCUUCAACUCUUGGAAACUCCGGUCACACUCACCGCUCCACACGAACUUCGUGCCUUACUCCACCCUCAGAAAUGACAUGCCCAAGAAAUGCAACCUCUCGGAGCCAAAAGUCGCAUUUCUUAAACUUAGCAUACAGCUUCUCCUCCCGAAGGACUUGAAGCACGAUUCUCAGAUGCUCGGCAUGUUCCUCGUCGCUACGAGAAUAGAUCAAGAUGUCGUCUAUGAAGACCACGACAAAUCGGUCCAAGUACUCCUUGAAGACACGGUUCAUCAGAUCCAUGAACGCUGCCGGGGCGUUAGUAAGCCCAAACGGCAUGACCGUGAAUUCAUAGUGUCCAUACCGCAUACAAAACGCGGUCUUUUGCACAUCUUCCGGCUUAAUCUUGAAUUGAUGAUAACCGGACUGCAGAUCAAUCUUUGAAUAAACCCGAGAUCCUUGCAACUGAUCAAAUAAAUCAUCGAUCCUGGGCAACGGGUACUUAUUUUUUAUCGUAACCUUGUUCAACUCGCGAUAGUCUACGCAGAGUCCAAACGAUCCGUCCUUCUUUCGCACAAACAGAACCGGGGCUCCCCACGGCGAUACACUUGGCCGUACAAAUCCCUUAUCGAGGAGAUCUAUCAAUUGAGCCCGCAGCUCCUUCAGUUCUGCCGGCGCCAUCCAAUACGGAGCCUUCAAGAUAGGUGCGGUUCCUGGAACCAAAUCUAUCACGAACUCGAUCUUCCGGUCUGGCGGCAUUCCCGGUAACUCCGCGGGAAAAACGUCCGGGAACGCUCGGACCACGGCUAGUUCCUCGAGUGUCGGAGUCUUCCUGUGGACUUCUACAACGGUCGCCAAAUAGGCCAUACAACCGCUAUUAAUCAACUUCCUCGCCCUCGUCGCCGACACCAUCGCGGCGAAGCGUGAGCUUCUACAGGCCCGGUAGGUGAAUUCCUCUUGGCCCGGCUCUCGAAACGUUAUUACUUUACUUCUGCAGUGAAUAGUCGCAUAGUACUUCAAGAGCCAAUCCAUUCCUAAAAUGACGUCGAAGUCUUUCAACUUCUUGAACACCAAUAUACGAAUGGGCAUUAUCCAAUCGCCCAACCGCACCGGACAAGACGAACGCUCCUUACGGACUAGAAAAUCACGUCUGGGGCCCGAUACUCUCCAAGUGCUUUUACUCUCUUGUAGCUCUAUGUCAUGCAUGCGUGCAAAUGACCUACUGAUGAAUGAAUGCGUAGCACCUGUAUCAAACAUAGCCCUGGAGCGAACUCCGUUAAUUAAAACCAUACCUACGAGUACAUGGCGAUCCCCCGCCUCAGCAGGUUCCUCGGCUUGGGUUUGGGCGGCAAACACCCACCCACUCGGAGCCGAUCUCGUCGCCUCAGAUUGGCGUGGUACCAUCGCACAUCCAGCCGACGACGCAGUAGGUGGGACACCUCCAUAAUGCGCCGGAGUCGCCAGAGCCGAUGCGACCGAAGGGGCAGGCGAAGUCCUCAUUAGACAGUAGCGGUUGAUAUGGCCUGCCUGUCCACACGUGAAGCACUUCCCUUCCCGUUGAUCACACAUCCUUGACUCGUGGUUCCCACCACAGAUUGUGCACCGCUGCGGUCCGCGGCCCUUGGAUUGCGUUCACGGGUACUUCGGGGGCCUUUUUGACUUGGCUUGAGCUCCCGAACUACUUUGGGCCCGCUUCUUGCCACCGUCCUUCUCGGACGCUUCUCGCUCCUCCCGGAUGUGAGCGUUUCCUUGCUCCGCCCACAACGCUCUGUCGAGCACCUCCGCGAAGGUAGUGAGCUUCAGAAUGUGCACCGCCCGGUAGAUAUCAGCCCGGAGCCCUCGCUCGAACCAAUCGGCUCGAUCCCUGUCAUACCGCACUACGUCGGGGACGCAAUCAAUGAUGUGAGAGAACUCCCGCUCAUAUUCCGCUACCGUGCGGCUACCUUGCUUCAACUUUCGAAAUUGCUCCUGGAGUUUCUUCUUCUCGCUGUCGAGGAAGUAGUUAACAUAGAACAAUCCCCGAAACUCCUCCCACGUCAACGGCGGAAGGUCGGAAGCUCGGUUUCUCUUGAUUCGCUUCCACCAAACCUUCGCCGUUCACUCCAAACAAUGAAUGACGAGGUAGACCUUGUCCCUCUCCAAGGUGUAGAGGUCCUCGAACAAGGUCUCCAUUGAGUCCACCCACGACUCAACCAUCCAUGGCUCGACCUUCUCUCCCUCGAAAGUCGGUGGAUUAAACCUUCGGAACUUCUCGAGAGCCGCAAGUGCGCACUCCCUCUCCGCCUCCAAUGCCGUCGCAUCGGGUGUCGUAGAACCCGAUGCCGCCGGAGGAACGCUCGCCGGCGGAGGACGUGCCGCCACCGGAACUGCCGCAAUGCCCUCACCCUCAGCCACCGUAGGCGCACGAGCUGGAGGCGGGGGCGGAUCACGGCCCUCAGUCACAACUGCAGUUGCCGCCGCAAAAUGCCACUCCAUAAGCCCUUAGAGCUGCUCGAACCGACUCUCCUGGCGCUGCACAAUGCCGGUCAAUGCCGACACCUGCGCACGUAACUCCUGUACUUAGAUCCGGCUUCCUCGAGCACCUCAGGAGACGGUGCGGAACGGACCUACGUACGUAGCGUCUUGGGGACAUUAUCUCCUGCAACGCAACAACCGGGUUAGUCAUCUAACCCACUUAACUCCGUCGCAUACACUAUAUUACGCGACUCAACUCCGCCAUAAGCGGACGUACACCAUUGUAUUAGUCCUAACUCUUAGCGUCGUGUUGUCGGCCGCCAACACAAACUCCUCGAGCUUAGAACUAACACCGCUCGGAUCCAUCUCUAGCCACACUAGAGAUCUAUACUCGAUCCGACCUAAUCGGAUUCUUCUUCAACCGAUAUAGGUUUACGUUUCUCUCACGUACCUACACAACACUAGGGUUCACCGUCCUAAGGUCUCUUAGGUCCAUCCUAGACUCUCUCUUUACUUGUUCUUAAUUGCUCUGAUACCAACAACACUGUCACGCCCUGCCCAGAAUCCACUACCAAUUUGGCACGGUUCGGGCGCACCGGACGGACCGCCGAACGGACAGCGCAUCUCCUGUCCGCCCAAGGCCAAGCAACCAGAUCAUGUACAGAUAAGCGCCCAGGGAAUGCUUAAAUAACAUACAUGAUCGAUACGAUGCACACAAGUGCACUAUAACUAAGAGCAAGAACCACAAGUGAAUAUACAAGUGUACAAAGAGAGAGAGUCUAACUAUUACAAUCAUUCAACAUUUACAUCAUUUGAAUAUAUUAUAUUUUCAUCUUCCAAAAUGUGAAUACAUGUUUUCCUCAAAAUACAAGUAGCUCUCCAAUAACUAUCCAAAACAUCAUCUAGUACACGUGUACUCUAAUGCAUAAAAGAAAAGCUACUAACUAGGCUCACUUAGGGCGCUAUGCCCUUGCCGCGGUCCUCGCUCGGCUCGCCUCUGUGUGUACCUGUACCCCAAAACCACACGGGGUGAGAACUAUAUAAAUAUAGUUCCCAGUGGGUUCGGCCGCCGACGCCGCCGGUUUUCCCACUAGGUCUAAGCUGGCACAGAUAGAGAGAUAGAUAGAUAUAUAGAAAAUGAACUGCAACUACUCUAUCAUGCCAUCAAUGAUAAUAAUGCAUGCAACAACUACUAUCAUGCUAGUAUCAUGUCAUGAGUAUAUAAAAGUGCAUAGCAAUGUAAUCUACAACAUACACUAUGUCUACUCAAGGUAAUAAUGCAAGUCUACUAUGCAUUUCAUGUUUAUUACCCAAUCUACUUGGUUAACCCGUAGGUUAAACCCUCGACUCACUCUCAAUCUCAUAGGUGAGGAGAAACUGCACUCGCACACCGAGACCGUCUGCGGGACAACUACGUCUGCCCCUAGUGAAGUACUCCGGAGACUCGUGCCUCGGUGGAGCGACCACCGACAAGCAAAAACAGACUAGUGAGUAUGAUCCAAUCCUCACAAGAGGAUACCCUGUCUACUAGGGUCAAUGUGCCUCUGCUGCACAGUCAUGAUAUAUAAUCAAUGUUGGGACUUCUACUAUCCC